rnacentral:lncRNA from 1 species
AGUAUUUACAAAUAUAUAUAUAUACUAGUCUAUUUACUCAUCUAAAAAAAAUUCUCACGGCCGAGGAUCCUACCCCACAAAUUUUGCUGGUUAAUUUGAUCUAAGCAUCCAUUAAGUGUUGUCCUUUUUCUUGAAAUAGACAAGUGUAUUGCAUGCGCUAUGUACUAUUUGGACUUGAGUUGACAGAUUGUUUACUAGUCAUUAUAUUAAGUAGUCUAUGAUCGUUGGAUUAGAGUUAGAACUUGGAAGGAUGGAAGUGGAGUUUAUAGUGUCACACUGCUGCUGUAUAGGAACCCAAAGUCUUAUAUUGUUGUAUGAGUUCGUCUACUUUCUGUUCAAAAGGGUUGAGGCUUCAAUCAUACCAAUCCGAAAUCAACGAUGGACAUUCAAAAUUGAGAAUUAAUACCUUUGGUGAUGAUUUACAUGAUGAAAACUAUUAAUAAACAAAAAAUCUUGAGGUUCUGAGGCCUCCUAUGCAUGUAUGUGGUCAUAACUUUAGCGUGCUAAACUAUGUGAGAAGGCACAAAUUGAAAUCCACACCUUGAUCUUGAUCCACAUAUCAGAAAGCUUGUAUAUACCAAAAUUCACUUGAUUUGAGAGGGCUUCCAGACCCUAAAUCAUGCAAAACAUCAUAUCAAACCAUUAAAGCAAUAUUUUUUUUGAAACUUGAUGCAUAGGUAACUGAUCUCUAAAACACAUGAAUUUGAUAUCAUAAUACUUUUUAUGAUGUAGAUCAUAAUUAAUAGCGUGAAUCAAAAACUACCAAACUGUCUUGAAUUAGGCGGUUCAGAAUAUACCGAAUUAGACUGGUGGGGAAUGGGGAUCGUUCAGUUAGUCAAUCUGGUUCGACUAGGGUUUUUAUAAAGCCCUCUCCUCUCCCCUCUCUGAAUCCUCACCUUUCCUCUCUCACCCUAUCUUUUGAUCCUCCUCUUCAUUCUCUCCUCUCCCCCUCUGUCCCAAUUUUCGUCUCCCCUCUUCUCUCUUGAUCCCUUGCAACUCCUUUUGCAUGAUGAUGUUGAUGAUGCCAAUGCCAACAGUUAGGGUUCCACGACAAUGACUUCACCACUAGGGUUAAGGUUCCAUCGCUAUCGAUGAUGUUAGAGGGAGGUACUCUUGUCCCUUUCUCUCUCUCUCUCUCUCUCUCUCUCUGCCCCCCUCUCCUCUCUCUCCUGCCCCCUCCUCCCUCUUCCUCCUAGUUCCAGUAUGCCUCAAGUUGAUAUGGUAUGUACCGGUAGCGUAUCAAACUAGUAGCCAGCUGGUAUGACUUUCGGUACCAGUUCAAUGAACCUUGAUGUGAAUCCUUCAUAUAACAUCUCCAUAAUAAGAUUGAGACCACAAUCUUUCCAGGAGAGUAGACCAACUCCUGCUAUACUAUGAUAUCGGGUCACUUCUCCUUGCACUGACAUCCAAAGUUUUUUGAUGCAUCAAACUUUAAGUAUGCAUUUGGUUCAGAACAAGAAAAGUGAACGCGAAUGAUUAUCACUAUGAGGAUAGUUAUUUGACCAGUAAUUCCUAUUUCUGUAUGGCUACAAUUUUAAAUAACUCUAGGCUGAGUAUGUUUUGUAAAAGCAAGGUCACCUUGCUUCCUUGAACUAAUAACCAUGCUAACCUAGCCUCCUCCAUCCCUUGGGACUAACAAGGGUAGUACAAGAAUAUUCAUCUAUUGUCCACUCCCCACACCCGACGCCCACCCACCCCCCCUCUUCCCCUGCCCCCGCGAAAAAAAAGAAGAAUGAACACAGGAGUGGAUGAGGAAAUAGCUUAUGACAUCUCUUCUUUGGAAUUGCUAUGCUUGCACUAAGUUUGAUCGAAAUAACUAGUCCUUGCAACUCUUUUCUAAAAAUUGUUUGGCAGGCAUAUGGCUUAAUCUAAGCCUUAUGGCUUUUUUUUAAAAAAAAAACAAUGCUGUCUACAUCUCUCUCGCUCUCUAUUUAAUUGUGCCUUGAGCCCAAGUGUGACAAUAGGAAAAAGAAAUGUAAAGCCACCAAUAUUCGCUGGUGGGGGCCUCAACAAUCCAGUUUGGAGAGGAACAAGAGAAGUGCACGAGCCAAAAGAGGUAGUGCGUUUAUGAAGUUAAAUAAAUAAAAGGGACGGGUUUGAGAAACCUUGUUUUCACAGGUGCUCUCUCUCUCUCUCUGCCGUCCUCUCCAUUUUCCACGUGCCUAUAGAUACACCAAUGUUUUAGGAGUGUAACUCUUGUUGCUCAACUUUUUUCUCUGUGAGAGAGAGAGAGAGAGAGAGAGAGAGAGAGAGAGAUGCAUCUCUUAAGAAAAUAUAGUAUUAUUUUAGUUUUAGGNNNNNNNNNNNNNNNNNNNNGUUGUCUCUACUUUCUUCUGUAGAGAGAGAGAGAGAGAGAGAGAGAGAGAGAGAGAGAUGCAUCUCUUGAAAAUAUAGAUAUUUAUUUGGUUUUAAGUAAUAGGACACUCUGUUUCUCAUCUUAUGUGCAUUUUGCAUGCUAAAUACUAGUAUGAGAGAAGGAUCAUUUAGUUAUCUAAAAUGCUAUGCAUACCUGCUGCAUAUGCACCCGCAUGUGCAUCCCGCAUUUCCUAUAUGCCCUUCUCUCCAUGUAGCAUUUCACAGCCACACGUGGUUUGUUUUGUAUCAUACAACUAUGUUUAGCAUUCUGGAGCUACAUGUACAAUCCACUCAUAUCACUCAUAUAUGGGCCCAUGUAGGUGAAGUGGGUUCAAGGUGAUUGUUAAGUUUGAUAUAGGUUUCAAGUGGGCUUAAUAUGGUUAUGCGAGUAUUAAUGGUGCUAAAAUGUUAAUUAUGCUAUAAUUACUGCUGUCAGGUAUUAGAUACUAAAUAAAAAGCACUAAUUAUUAGUUAUUAUUGUUAUUAAUAUUGUUAUUAUCCAUCCAUGAAAAAAUGUUACCAUUAUUGUUAUGUUUGUUGUACCUGAUGUAUUAGAUUUAUUUUUAAAUAGUUCAAAGAUAGUAACCACAUAUUCACUUGCAUAUGCAGCAUGCAUAUCGAAUGUGCACCAUGUGAUCUCUUGACUGCAUGUAUACUGUAGCUGCUUUCUAUUGUUGGAUCAUAUACAUGUGUAUGUUCAUGUGAGAAGAGGUUGGCGGGCAUAAACCAUGUAUAAAUCAAGUGUUCCCUUACAUGCAACACAUAGACCUGAGCGAGUCUUGAGUUUAUAUACCAUACUAGUAUACGUUGGACAUGCAAAAAUAUACUUGAUGCGUUUAAUCUAUUGCGCUUAAAAUGACUAUUAAGCGAAUAUCGAUGUUAACAUACAGAUACACAUUGAUUAAGAAAUAAGGUUAUUUUUAGCAUGUAAACUAAUAUAACAUUUAUAUAUUAAUGCAACACAAUUAACUGAAUUGAUGGAUUUGUCCUAAGUAGUAGACCUACCUACAUGCUUGGUGGACCGCCUUAAAAAAUACUGUGACUACUAAGUCAUUCAUGUGAUUUUGAUGCCAUAUCUGACUAGAGCAACUACUUUGACUGUAGAUGGUUUGCCUGUGAGUAGAUGGGAUUUUCCUAUGUAUGCAGGACUUCAUCUUCUGUGGAUAUGUGUGUAGUAAUGUGCUUGAAUGGAUAAAAAAUUUAUUGUUUAUGAAUAGACAGAAGUGAUAGUGCAAUGUGAACAUGUUGGACCAUAAAACACAGUGAGAUUUGCAAUAUCUGCUUCUAAGAUAUUGUAAUUGUUGUCCAUCAAUUUGUUAGUAUGCCCAAGAAAUGAACUGUAAUCUUUUAUGAACCCUGUAUGCAAGAUGGUUUCUUUCCUAGCAGAUUUAUAUUUCCAUAUAAACAGGAUGUAGUUUGAUGUGUGGCGUAGAAAAUCAUGUACAUGCAUAGUACAAUGAUUGAUUCUAUGCUUUACAAGGCAUUCUAGUUCGGUAUUGCUUUCUCAUCAUGCAAUGUUAUUGCUCUGUUAUUUUUUUGAAACUUUCAUUGAGUUGUCCUGCAAAUUUUAUCAGAUACCAAUCAGAUGGGAAUUGUAGGUGAGAAUAAAUUUUCAGAGCAGAAGACUCACCACAGAGGCAGGCGGAAGAAGCAUGAUUGGAGAUCAAUGGCUCCAUAGAGAUAAUAACGAAGCAUCUUAUUAUAAUUUGCUGCAUGAAAUGAUUAAAUCGUGAUUAAUGUAACAGAAGUUAGUUAUAGUUACCCAAUGCCAAAUGCAGUCAUGCUGAUUGUUUGGAUGUAAUUAAAGAACAUUGUGUUUUUUUUCAUUAUAAUAUUAGAACCCAUCAGUUGCAAUGCUAGUUUUAAUUCAGACUCUGAAAUAGUUGAUAUAAAUGGAUAUUAUUGCAUCAAUUGGUGGUGUACCUGGAAUAUUUUGAUCAAGCAAAUUCUUAUCUGUGGUUUCCCUCUUACUUGUGUUUCUCCUUGUUCUUGUUUCCUUCCUUGAGUACACAAAUAUUUGAAAAAACAGAAAAGAAAAAAAAAGGAUGUGUUUUUUGCAUUUUUUUUCUUCCAAAUUUGACAAAUGCUGACAUGGUGUUUGAUGGAUGCAAAGAGGACGUUGUACUGUUGUUUGUAUAAAUAUCGUGCAGAGAUGCUAUUUUCAAAGUUGUAUCAUGGCUUGUGCUCUCUCAACAUACCUUGUGAGAAUUCUUCUGUUCUGGUUUUGAUAACCUGCUGCAGGUAACAAGGCUGUCCGCAAUUUACCAUGGUACUCUUAUUGGUGGUUUUAGUUGUUUACCUGCCUUAAUCUCUCAUGUAUUACACAAACUUUUAUUAAAUAUAUGUGAUGUUAGAUUACGGAAGGUUUAUUUGCUCCUAUGUAAUGAUUUCAUACGCUCUGUCACAUUGUCUAAUAUUAUCUUGUUUCUCUGUUAUGGGACGUACAUCAGUGAAAAGCUGACCGAUACUCGCACUAGAUAAGAGGUGGUCAUCCUAUUUUUGAGGAAAACCAAGCAAUUGUUGAACGUGAAAGUGAGAUUAAGGGUGGGUUACGUUUCAAAUAUGAAUCCUAGCCGACCUUAACAGAUGCCAAGCUGGUAUCCUUUAUAUUUCAGUACUUGAAUAAUAUGAAAUUGAUUUUCCUUUUGUGAUAUGUAUGUAUGUCAAUCAAAUCUAUCACAUGUUUUUGAUAAUGUUUACACUUUGCAUACUAUUAUUUUAUUUCAUAAUAUGCUUACGAGAUAAAUAAGUAAAUAUGUACAUAUUUAUUAUGAUUUGUCUGGGAACUAUUAUUAACCUGUAUUGACCCAAAAAAAUCCGUUGGAUUUGCCAAAAUCAAUAUUAUGCCUGAUGUGGGCCAACCCUUGUAGAAUAGGAUUGGGUUUGGGGUCUUUUUUUUUGACCCAGUUCAAAUAUGGAUUGAAUUUUGGUUGUGCCUAUUCCUGAUCCAUCGUAACCUUGCAUCCCAGAGAGUAUGAAUUGGAUCUUCGUUAGUUCGUAUGAUUUAAUCGAUCUUGAUGGCUAAUAAUAAUUGACUACUGGACCUUUGGACAUGCUAUACAUGUGAUUAUGGGCUACUCCUGGAAGAUAACUGCAUAAAAUAAAUAUUAGUUUAAGGGUGCAAUCAUAUUGCAAGGAGACUCGAGUAGUGUCAUCUCUAGGAUCUCAGCAAAAACUCAGCAUGAGAAGCCUAAUCAUCCACCAUUGAUGGAUAUUUGGAGAUUUAAAUUGAUUGAUGCGUAAUUAAUCAUAUGAAAAGCUAAUCAGAUGGUCGAUUAGAUGGCUUUUUAUGUAGCUGAUCAUAGUGGACCUGAGAUUUGAGAUACCUUCUUUAUAUUUACUAUGUUAUCUCCAAUACAUUUUAGUGACAGAUGCUACUAGGUGUAUUUAUUCAAGCUAUGAAACAACCGGAUUGACAGAAAAAAAAAGAAGGGUAGAUGAUAGGCCCUUCAUAUUGAUAAGUCAAAUAUAGAGUGGAAUCAGAAGAGUUUUAAUUAUAAUAGUACUAAAAUACAUGUUUCCCAUAUAAGAAAAUCAAGUGAGGCGAUUUUGAGAAUCUGGAGUUCAGUCAUGCUGGACUUCCCACCGAGACAUUUAAGCGCACAUAAAUAGUAUCAGAGAAAAAUAACAAAAAUUGGAGUGUGUGUGUACACACACACAUACACAUUUAUAUAUUCUAUUUCUAAAUUGCUUAUAUAUAAAAAAUUAUAUAAUUUAGAUAUUUUUAGCCUACGUAUUAAGUAGUAAAAAAUUGAAUGUAAUAUGGUAUAUCACUUGCAGGCAUCCAUGCGGAGACCAGGGAUGAUGGAGUGGGAUGUCACCUGUGCUUACCUGACUUAUCAUAUUUGGUUAGACAAGAAUGUCUGUAUCUUCGAGGGAAGGAGGUCUCAUCUGCUAGCUGUGGUGGACAGAGCUACUCAUCAUGCGACCGAGAUCAUCGACACUAUCUUGGCAAUUUCACCUAGGGAGAUUAAGGACACCUGGGGUUCUUAUAUCACUGUUACAACGCUCAGAGUCACUUUUGUCACUUGGGAACUGCUACUCCCUGGUCACCUCAAGGUGAACUUCGAUGAUAGUGUGCUAGCAAGAGGAGAUAGAGGUGGGAUGGGAUUCGUAAUCCGAGGUCACAAUUCUUGUUUGAUUACUGUAGGAGGGCGAUGCAUUAGUGGUACGACAGUCAUAGAAGUGGAGCUCAGGGCGGCAUGGGAGGGCAUCACUUAUGCGAGGUCUGUUCUAGGGGCUAGUGAGAUCACUCUGGAAGGAGAUUCUGCCAUGGUGAUUAAUUGGAUUCGGGAUGCUACGCAACAGGUUGCCGAUCAUCCUUUCUUUAGCGAUAUACAUCAGAUGGUGCGAGACUGUAACUUCUUUUAGGUUGCUUAUGUAUACCGGAAGGCAAACAGGGCGGCUAACUGGAUGGCUUCCUUUGCUGCCCAUCACUCCGGAGAGGACUUCUGGAUAUGGGCAGAUGUUGUACCCUCUUUUUUAGGCCACAUUUUGUAUUUUGAUUCGGUUGUAUUCAUAUUAGAUUAAUGUGAGCGUCUGUUUUAACCAAAAAAAAAAAAAAAAAAAUACAACAACAACAACAAUACAUUAGCUAAGCGGGUGCAAUCGGGUCAGCGCCAAGCGACUACCGGAUCGGAUUCAUUCUCUUGUUCUGUGUCCGCACGUGAAACGGGAGAUAUCCCAUAAGCUUUUUGGGGAUAUGCGCUCAGGGAGUGGGCGAGGCAGGCGAAAGAAAGAGAUGGGUGGAGGAGUGGAGGCGCUGGGGGCGUACCGGGCGCUGCUGCGGGCGACACGGAAGACGUUCGCCGGUGACACGCUGAUGCUGUCGGAGUCGGCUGUGGAGAUUCGGCGGAGAUUCGAGGAGAACCGCGGCGUGACGGCGGAGGCCGAGGUCAAGCGACUCCUCGACGAGGCGCGUCAGGCCUCCCACUUCAUCACCCACAUGAUCGUCCAAGCCAAGCACAGCUCCACUAAUGGAGGUUAUGGUAAAAUAUCGAGUUUUCUUCUCGUUGCUCGUGCUUUGAAGCUGCUAGCUCUGAUUUCAGGCUAUUUUUUUUUCAAACGUUUGCAACUAUUCCUUCCAUCGAAUUGGAUAUGGUGGUUAAAAAAAUCGUAUUUUUAGAGCUGGAGCCUGGAUGGAUUUCAAGCUGAGAAGAUUGGGUCUAGGGCUAGGAGAGAAUUCUCAAAUUAUCAUUAUUUUCCUGGUGGCUGCUUAAAUGUUCCAACUGUUCGACAAUUGUCAAAAUAUUCAUCAAUUAUGUAUGAACUUAUGAGUUUUAAGAACUUGUUGCCACAGAAGUUUAACAUUGAUACUGGAUAUGAUAGUCAACCAUUUAUCUUACCAUGCUUUGUGACAUUGUGACGGGUUAAACGUUUUAAGAUGCAUAGGUUUUUGGAGUUUAAAAGAAAAUUCAGCUGGCAAAAGCGAAUAAGAUUCUUAAGAUGUAAGGGAUUUCAAUAUUAUAGCUGAAUAUUUUAGGAUGCAAUGAUUCUAAAGAUGGUACUUUGAUGCCCUAUCGUUUGUUCCACAAUUUUGAUGUUUGUAGAGGAUCAUGGCUGUUAUUGGCAUAACAAUCAGAAUGGCUAUUCUUUACUGAAUUAUAUGCUUGUUAAGCAUUUGGGAUGAGAAGGGCCAAGAUGUAUAGGGUCAUCAAGCUAAAUAUAAAAGGCCAAGAAGUCCAUGGGAUGAUAUAUUUCGAUACAUUUGUGGAAAAGACCAAACAUAGCAAUAGGAGGAGAUCUCAUCAUCGUUCAUCACGUCUGUUUAGUUAGUAAAAUGGGUUGAGUCAUGGGAUAGUCUGAAUUCUGUGACAGUCCUAUAUUGUGACUGGAGGUAAUCUAAAGUAGCCAUGAUUUCAUGAUGUCUUAGGUCAGGAAAUUCUUGGGUUGAGUUUAAUGUAGUUUAUUAUUUUCUUUGUUUGAAUCUAAGGAUUUAAUCAGGAAUUGCUUGAACUUUAAAGUCAACCUUUUUUCUCUUUUAAGUCUUUUCGCAUUAGCAAGACCUAAGAGGGGACAAUGCCACACUCUAUGUGGUGACUUAUGGAAAAUGCCAGCUGGCAAAGAUAGCAUCAGUACUACCAAAGCUAACUUUACUAUCAGGUAUUCCUUAAAGUUUAUUUAAGUUAAUCCUUGCUCUUUAAAACAAAUAAUGGAAUUGGAUCACUGAUUUGUAUCUUAACCGACAACAGUUUGUUUUCUAUUUUGCUAUUUCUCUGCAUUAGUUUAACAAAAUUAACCAAGUUAAAUCUUCAGCACAGCUGCAGUUUGUCCCUAGUGCAGUUUGCACCUUAAUUUUUCAAUAUAAAUAUCUUCAGAUAAGCUACAGAAUACAGAAUAUGUUAAAGUUCUUAUUUGAACCCUUCAAGAAAAUUCUUGCUUCAUCUUGCCCUUGUUUUGCAAUUUUGCUUAAUGAGCAACUUCUAAGUUGAUUUUCUGUAUCAUAUAAGAUCUGAAAGCACACAUUUAGUAAUUAAAAUCUUUUUUUAUGUGGCGUUGUGUUUCCUGAGGCCUUUAAUGAUAAUGCUGUUUGCGAAUAAACAUAUAAAAAUACCAUACAGGUCAUGCAGAUUUUCACAAGGCUCUUUUGUUGGACCAAACAACUAUCCAUGUUUUAUUUCUUAAGGAAGCAUUAUCUGCUUAGAUUAGCUGUCAAGUUCAUAUGUUUUGACAUCUUGGUGCAUGGGACUGCUCCAAUGUCCAAUGGAGGGAUCCCAAUGUGACUGGUUACGCUUGUGUAUUGCCAUUUUGCUACAUUUGGGCUUGCUUGACUAAUUAUAUUCUUUUCAUCGCACCAUAUGCAUCAACAUAUGUCAAAAUACAUUACGCCAUUCUCAAAAAAAAAGCCUGUUCUGCAAUUUAUCUGAGAAAUUGAAGAUAAUUGACACAGUCAAAACAGCCUAGCCAUCACAUGUGAUGCAAAAUUCUCUUAUUCAUAUUCCUUGCACUGUUGUUGCUAGCAGCAGAUCAACGCUUGACUGUAACUUUAGUAUGGCAUCUACUACUGCCCUGAAUUAUGAAGAUAUGGCAAUGCUUUCCAGAAUGUGAUUUAGAGGAUCCUUUAAUUGCCUUUCCCAUACAGUUUAACAUCUCAUCUCUUUUGCUAGUCUAAUCUUUGAUGUUUUUUAACUUCUUCUAUUGUAUUGAAUGGUCCAUGAGAUUCUUGUCAACAUUAUGUGAUCAUUGUGUAGACUGGAUAAUCUAUAAACCUGUUUUUUUGGUGCAUAAGUAUUAUAGAAUAGCCAUUUAAACCACAAGAAGAGCCAAAUUGAAUAUGUUGCAAUCGUGCAAUUGUGAUCAUUGUAGUUGUAGAGCAGAGGGAGCUGAGUAUUGAAUGUCUAGGGAAAGCUUCGUCCUUAUGCGUCAUUUGUGCUGUAAAUCAACCAUUUUUUUGUCAUGAAAGGUUGAUGACAUCACAUCAUUAGCAUUCUGAAUUGUAGCUCCAAAUAAUUAUCUUGGGGAGCUUGUUAACUCAUUACAAGUUGUCCUUUUGUUGUCAAUUGCUUUCUUUCAUGUUUGCUCCACUUUUCUAGGGUUUAAACCUUAUCAAGCCUAUCAUUGCUCCCAUUUGUGUGCUCCUUUAAGGCAAGCAAUAUGCUGCCACAUUCUUCAUGAAGUGCAACGUAAGCUAACUCUUGGAUUUACAACCAUGUUAUUGCUCCCUACUCAGUUCAAUAAGCACAAUUUUUAUGAAUCAAGAGGAUCUCAACGUAACAAUUGUUUCCAGAGCUACUGUAGAAGGAAUGUUUGACGUGGUGUGCAGUUAUCCGCAAGCACUUAUUUAGCAUUACAUUGAGUUGAGAAACCUAUUCUUUGGUUGCUUAUUUGCUUGAUGACAAUUUUGAUCAUUCAAUUAAAGAAGUGAUUGUUUUAUAAUAAGUAUACUCAAAGGUAAUAUAAUUAUUAAAACAAUGAGUUCAGGGAUUAUUUGUUACAUGCAUAAAGUCAUGCAUAUAUACAAGGAGAUUGAAUUGUUAUCUUGUAUUUUUUUAACUUUUGCACUACUAGAUUGAGUUUUAGGAAGAAGAAGAGAAUAAUUUUGACUUUAGGUGAAGAGAUGCAACUUGAAUGAAUUUUUACAUUGUUUAUUAGACCUAAACUAAGAGACAAUAAUUUAAAAAGGAAAAAUGUUCAAGUAUCUCCAAAGAAGGGUUUUUUUACCCUCAAAAUUAAGAUAUUGUCAUAGAUUUGCAUAAUCAACCUUGUAUGUGUGCCACUGGUGUAUGAUCUUGAACUAUUGCUUUUUUAAAAUUAAUUUUGUGGCAUCACAUGAAUCCUCGAUGGUUGCCAUCGCAACAUUGACUCCUGAACUGUUGGUGUAUGUGGCAUGGCUCCUCAUUUUUCUAAUCAAUCAAAACAUGCUGCAAUGAGGACCUCUAUACUGUAUCCACAUAAACCAUCUUGGUUUUGCUUGUUGAAGUGAGUCAAAUUGUAUAUCUUUAUUUGAUAUGGUCUAAUAUUUCAAACUGAAACUUAUAUUCAUGUAAGGAUGGAAUGUACAUAUAUAAUCCAAAAAGGUAGCCCAAUGCAUGAGGCUCCUGUCUUGCAAGGUCUGGAAAGGGUUAAAUGUAUGCAACCUUACCCUGUGUGUGGAGAUGUUGUUUCCGUAUUUCGAACCCAUGAUCUUUAGGUCACGAUGGAGCAAUCUUGCCGCACCCCGAACCUGUUACCUAGGUCGACCACGUGCAGGGGCGGCCCAAGCCUUAGGCGACCGAAGCGGUCGCCUAAAGCCUCAGCCCAAAGGAAGGCCUCCGGGAGUCUCCUACGAGCCAACAUAGCUGCCUACGAACCGAGUCGAAGUUGGAACUCGGAAGCCUACGAGCUGCUCCAACAUGGCAGCAUAGCUAUCUGCUGCCUACGAGGCUACGAUCCAGACAUCUUAGCCCGUCCUCUAUCCUCCUGCCGGCUGCCGUCCAUAGCCCAUAGGACCACCAUAGCCCGUCUUCUCCAUCCGCCGUAGUCACCAGAAUCCCAGUCUUCCCAGAUAACCAGAGUCCAGGGCCCUCUAAAGUUCUAAACUCUUCUUCUUCAAUCUUCGGUUCUUCCUUCCUGUUCCUGCUACCUAGUUCCUCGGUUCACUGUUCACUUCCUCCUCCUCCAUCCUCCUUAGUUCUUCACUUCUUCCAUCCUUCGCCCGUUCGCCGUCCUCUCCAGCCUCUAGGUGGCAGGUGCUCUUCAGAUAUUUCCCUGUAAAGACUUCAGACAUGCUUUCCUCAUUGUGCUACAAUAACCCAAGUUCCUUGAUUAACUUGUUUCAUGUUUAUGAAGUUCAAGAUUUUUUGUUUUUUUUGUUUGAAUUUCAUAUGCAUGUACUGGUGGUAUCGGAAUGCCUGUUGGACUUUUUUGAAGCUUGUUAUAUGUUAUAGUCAUGCAUAAAGUCAUGCAUAUAUACAAGGAGAUUGAAUUGUUAUCUUGUAUUUUUUUAACUUUUGCACUAUUCGAUUGAGUUUUGGAAAGAAGAAGAGAAUAAUUUCAACUUUAGGUGAAGAGAUGCAACUUGAAUGAAUUUUUACAUUGUUUAUUAGACCUAAACUAAGAGAAACAAUAAUUUAAAAGGGAAAAAUGUUCAAGUAUCUCCAAAGAAGGGGUUUUUUUAACCUCAAAAUUAAGAUAUUGUUAUAGAUUUGCAUAAUCAACCGUGUAUGUGUGCCACUGGUGUAUGAUCUUGAACUAUUGCUUUUUUAGAAUUAUUUUGUGGCAUCACAUGAAUCCUCGAUGGUUGCCAUCGCAACAUUGACUCCUGAACCGUUGGUGUAUGUGGCCUGGCUCCUCAUUUUUCUAAUCAAUCAAAACAUGCUGCAAUGAGGACAUCUAUACUAUAUCCACAUAAACCAUCUUGGUUUUGCUUGUUGAAGUGAGUCAAAUUGUAUAUCUUUAUUUGAUAUGGCCUAAUAUUUCAAACUGAAACUUAUAUCCAUGUAAGGAUGGAAUGUACAUAUAUAAUACCAAAAAGGUAGCCCAAUGAUGAGGCUCCUGUCAUUGCAGGAUCUGGAAAGGGUUAGAUGUAUGCAAUCUUACUCUAUGUGUGGAGAUGUUGUUUCCGUAUUUCAAACCCAUGAUCUUUAGGUCACGAUGGAGCAAUCUUGCCGCACCCCGAACCUGUUACCUAGGUCGACCACGUGAUAGGGUGAUGUAAACCCUAGAGUGAUGCCCUAGAGAUCAUGUAAGAUCUAUAAAAUAUUACAAAAUCUCCAAUAAUACUAGAAUAAUCAUAUCAAUCAUACAAUUCAACCAUAUUAAUCUAACUAUAUAAAUCCUAUCAUUAUUAAAUAGUAAAGUUUGUUUAGCAUAAAAAUUCAAAUGUUCACCUGAUAUCAGAAAAUCAACUAACUAAUAACUUUGAUGCUCAAACUCUACGCUCAACCCAUCUGAAACUACACAUCUUGUGGUUUUUUAAAAAAAUACAGUAGAUAGAUAUGAGUUUUUCAGCCCGGUAAGAAUCUCCAACCGUCACAUCAAUAAAAUAAAAUAAAUUAAUAUGAGUUUUUAGAUAUUGUUAUGGUAUUUGAUUCAAAACAACAUAUACAUAUUAUCAUCAAGUAUCCAUCUUAUCAAAAGAAAUAUUUAUAUCACAAAUACCAACAAAUUAAAUUGUUUAUUCAGCAAGGGUUCAUAUGCCUUAAAAUCCGUCUCUCAUUAACUUAAUUCCAGAUUCAAUAAUAAUUUAUUUUUCGAUUUUGGGCUAACCAAGAUCAUGCCUCAGUCCAUGAUUGAUAAAUAUAAAUUCCAUGAGUAAGCCUAUGAAGGCUAUCCUAUGCAUAAGCUCGUAGAGGCUAUCCCGCGCAUAAGUUCGUGGUAGCUAUCUCAUAUGUAAACCCAUGGAGAUUAUUCCACAUAUAAGCCCGUGGAGGCUAUCCAAUGCAUAAGCUCGUAGAAGCUAUCCACAUAACGAGGUUAGUCCAAACUACUUCUUAUGCAUCUGAUUAUUGCAUAUUGUUCUUGUCAAAGUGAUUCCAAUUUGUCAAUGUGUUCCUUACAAUUUCAAGAUAACUAGAAUCAUAAUUGAUAUAGCCAUAUUUUCAAUAGCUGAUACCCACAUAUAAUAAACACAUAAAUAUACUCAUGCCAAACAUCAUAUAAAAUGAUAUCAUCUCAUGCAAAAUUGAAUUCAUAGAUACAAAUCCAAUGAUAUAAAUCCAACAAUACAAAUUCAAUAGUACAAAUCUAUACAUAACAUAUACUGGUGAUCAUGUAUAAGGAUUUUUACCUCUAUUGACAACAAACUUAACACACUUAAGUACUAGCCCACAUCUUGAUUUAUGAACUGGGAUGUCAGAAUCCUGCUCAAUAUCUUUUUAUCCAAAAGAUUAUUCUCCUACAGAACCAAGUGCAAUAUUAAAAUAAAAACCAUAAAAUCAACUAUCUAAAACCUUCUAUUGGGGUUUAUCAGGGGUCCACCAUUGAGUCCCCUGAAUCUUUUCCAUCAAACUCUUGGAUUAGUUAGAGAGAGAGGAGAGUGAGAGGAAGAGAGAAGAGAGAGAACUCUCGCUCCUUUCUCAAAAUAGGAGAAAGUUCUCUCCCUCUUUCUCAAACAAAGGAAGGCAUGUAAGGCUUGGCUAGGUGACGACAACAACAUAGGGCGGUGCUCGACAGUGGUGGGCCAGUGGAGAGAAGACAAAAGAAAAAUGAGAAUAGGUGUUGAACCAAAUCAAAAUUUGGCCUAGAUCAUGGCCGACUCAAUGGUCGACUACCAUACCUCAUCAUACAACCUUAGAGGAAUUAGGGGGGCGGGGAUAUUGAUGGUCUCGGCAAUGAGCGGGGAUCACUGACGAUGAAAGAUACAAGAGGAAAAACAGGGGAGCCUUUAUUCAAUAAGAUUCUGGCGACUUGCCGGUUCACAUCAGCCGGCAACAGCAGCACUGGAAUUGGGAAAAGGAGGAGAAGGUAUAAGGAUGAUUACCUCGAUCUUGCGAGGUCUCAAAGAUCCGAGCUUGGGGAAGGCUUAACGGAAAGAAAACACACGGAAAUGGUGGAAACAACGAUGAUUGCUCGAGGAUUCAAUGAUGGAGUUCGCAGGAGGAAGAGGAAACCUUUUUAUAGAGGAGAUCCUAGGAAUUUAGUCGAGACCCGGCAUGUCAUAGGUCUCCCAUCUCCGCUGGACUCAGGAGAGAAGAAGACUCCCAGUAGGAGUCUCCUCUACGCCCUGCACGUGCGAUGCAUGCAUGUGUCCAACCGAGUUGGGCUGACCCGAUCCAACCGGGUUAUCAAUUUGGUUCAUAACAAACCUUAUUGUUGUGCCAAGGCUCACUCUCUCGUGCAUAUAUAAUACCAAUUAUUUGAAAAUUAGUAUGUGCCGUCGAAGAUAUAGGUGGAUACUGUGCCUCCUGCCAUGGUAAUGUCUUGAAAUUCUUCAGCAAAAUUGUCAUAUUUUGUAAGGAAAAAAAUUUAAUUUUUCAUUCAUUUUGACCUAUUUAGUGUCUUUCUUUAUGUCCUGUCCAUAUUUAUAUGCGUAGUUGCUUCAAACUAUUACCAACAUUGUUUAAUGUUGCUCGACCUCUCCAGCUAUAAACUUAUUUCCUUUUUGGGUAAUUAUCUACAUUUUCUACUGCAGUUGUGAAGCCUGGUAAAGAGCAUGCUGGAGCAACACUAGAGAUUCCUUCUGAAGAGAUUCUCUCUAAGUUGACAUGAGCAAAAUUUAGCUAAUUAGAAUGUCAAAGGCAACAACCAUCAAUAUCGCAGGUUAAGCAUCAGAUCAGUUGAUAUAUUGAAUAAGUGUUUCAUCUGAAUUAUAUUUGCCUGAGGAAACCAGCAGGAAUAUUUAUUCUUCUAGUUGAACUUUACACUUCAACUGUUUAUCUAACAGAACUAACAAGGGCAGAAGAAAGUAAAACUUGCUAUUGGGACUAGUUUUUCAUUUGUAAGUUGUAGAAGUUCAGGGGUAAAGGCUCAUAAUCUGGUGGAUCUAUAUUUUCCUAAGAGGUUCAGAAGGAAGCUAAGUGGCUGUUAUUUUUAUUUUUUAAUUGAGUCUUUGCUCUUUCUAUCUUGAAGCUUAUGUAGAAAUUAGCUUAUCUGAUACGGUUGCUGCAUUUACUUCUGCAAUGAGACGAGCAGACCAUCAUAAUAUACUGCUUGUGUCUCACUGUAAAUGGAUUUGCAUAUUGCUCUGUCCUUCAAUGCAGUAGCAGACUUCAUGUUUGUUCACUAAUUUCUUUUUUUUUUUUUUGCGAUGCNNNNNNNNNNNNNNNNNNNNCGUGGUUCCUCCGGUGUAGGAAUGAAUCCGUGCCUGUGAUGAGAGUACAAAAGUGAAAUCUUCAUAUUAUCUUAAUUAGUAUUAUAGUUAAUUUUUAUUAAUAAAAUUAAUUAAUUAAUGUUUUAUUUGUGUUUAGUGAAAUUAAUCCAAGAGACCCAGUAACUCUGGAUUUGAGCCCAAAGCCUGGCAUUCCGAGCUCAACAAAUCCUCAGCGUCUCAUCUGAGCCUCAAGUCGCCCGUCAUCCACAUGCAAUCCAUAUCACUGCAUCCAGCCGAGCAGGCAUCUCAACUUCCCAAGCUCUUUUGACUCAAAGCAAAACAUCCCAAGAGCCAACAGCCAUCUUCAAACUCGUCCCAGCCACUCUCUUCCCAGCGAACAAAUUCCAUCCAACUGUCCGUAGCAUCUCAAGCGUUAUGGCAUCAACGUCUACAACCCGCCUCAGCAACUACCCAUCCAUUCGCCUUCCGCAUGGCUUCUUGUCUUCCAACCGGAUCAUUCCAAGCAACCGUGGAGCUUCCCAACAUUUAUCUCCACCCCGUGUCUCAUCCGUUCUCAAAAUUUUGCAACGUUCCCAGCCGAAGAGUCUAAGCGAUUCGACUUCAUCCCGCAUCUCAAGCAACCGGAUCAUCCCCAAACCUCCACGCGUCUCAGCGGCCGCGCCUUCAACAUGCUAUAAAAGCCGGAGGAACCAGGNNNNNNNNNNNNNNNNNNNNNNNNNNNNNNNNNNNNNNNNNNNNNNNNNNNNNNNNNNNNNNNNNNNNNNNNNNNNNNNNNNNNNNNNNNNNNNNNNNNNNNNNNNNNNNNNNNNNNNNNNNNNNNNNNNNNNNNNNNNNNNNNNNNNNNNNNNNNNNNNNNNNNNNNNNNNNNNNNNNNNNNNNNNNNNNNNNNNNNNNNNNNNNNNNNNNNNNNNNNNNNNNNNNNNNNNNNNNNNNNNNNNNNNNNNNNNNNNNNNNNNNNNNNNNNNNNNNNNNNNNNNNNNNNNNNNNNNNNNNNNNNNNNNNNNNNNNNNNNNNNNNNNNNNNNNNNNNNNNNNNNNNNNNNNNNNNNNNNNNNNNNNNNNNNNNNNNNNNNNNNNNNNNNNNNNNNNNNNNNNNNNNNNNNNNNNNNNNNNNNNNNNNNNNNNNNNNNNNNNNNNNNNNNNNNNNNNNNNNNNNNNNNNNNNNNNNNNNNNNNNNNNNNNNNNNNNNNNNNNNNNNNNNNNNNNNNNNNNNNNNNNNNNNNNNNNNNNNNNNNNNNNNNNNNNNNNNNNNNNNNNNNNNNNNNNNNNNNNNNNNNNNNNNNNNNNNNNNNNNNNNNNNNNNNNNNNNNNNNNNNNNNNNNNNNNNNNNNNNNNNNNNNNNNNNNNNNNNNNNNNNNNNNNNNNNNNNNNNNNNNNNNNNNNNNNNNNNNNNNNNNNNNNNNNNNNNNNNNNNNNNNNNNNNNNNNNNNNNNNNNNNNNNNNNNNNNNNNNNNNNNNNNNNNNNNNNNNNNNNNNNNNNNNNNNNNNNNNNNNNNNNNNNNNNNNNNNNNNNNNNNNNNNNNNNNGAGAGAGAGAGAGAGGUCUACCUCAUCGUUGCGGAACCCUAACCCUACCCAGUGUUAUCAUUUGGAGUCCAUGGCGGCGGCGGAGCAUUGAGAGAGAAGGGUGAGGGAAGAGGAAGCUCCUAAGAGUAGAAUGGGGAGGGGAGAAUUGAGAGAUCGGAAGAGAGAGAAUGAAGAAUAGAGAGGGAGAGGAUUUGGAGGCAUUUAUAUAUUAAAAAAGGUACUAGAUCGAUUGGCCAAGCCGUCUCGGUGACCGUUCAAUCUAGUUCAAUAUUCCCUGAACUGCCCAGUUUGGGACGAUUUGGUGAUCCUUGAUUAUAAUGAAUGAAUGCUUAACUUAGUAUUGAAGACAAUUAGAACUUGUCAGACAUCAAGAACAAUGAAGACAGAAUCAUGUCUAGUUCAGUAUUCCCUGGACUCCCGGUUUGGGAUGGUUUGGUGAUCUUUGAUUAUAAUGAAUGAAUGCUUAACUUACUGUUAGUAUUGAUGACAAUUAGAACUUGUCAGACAUCAAGAACAAUGAAGACAAAAUCGUGUAUAGUUUUGCAGCUCUAGGCCAAAGCUAUUUUUCAUAUGAGCAGCUUUUUGUUAAUAUAUACAAGAGAUUCAUUGCUCUUCACUAAUCGAACUUUGGAAUAAGAUAUAUCAGUCAGUAUUAGUUGUAACGGUUCCCACUUUGGUUAGAGGUCAGCUUUAAAAAACUAGCUCAGAUUAGUGAUUAGAAUUUACAAAAUAGUUCCAAUAUGUAUUGUUGACUUUUAUAUCCUAGUUAGCUGCUCUAUGUGCAAAUCUAAUGCUGUUACUGGAAGAAAGAUUAACACACCAGUCUCCAGUGUCAAGUUCUAGUCCACCAAUAAUAGGGUAAAACUGUUCCUGCACCCUUUAAUUUAUAAAUAGGAAAUGAUUCUACUGCUACAAAAAUUGAGGGCUAAAGAUUAUUGAUUGAAAAGAUUUUCUGAGAAUUGGCAAAUAGCAAACAACUCAAAAGACUUAAAAAGAUUAUGACAUGAUGAGAUGGAUGACUGAGAUAUUAUACACAAACCCACAGAGAAGAGAUUAUGAGAUAACUUUGAAAUGUAUACUCUCAGAAGGAAAGUUAGAGACUUAAAUUACUAUAAUUAGGUUUUUUAAAUAAAAAAAAUGUGAAAGAGCUUGUAAUUAAGAAAAGAUUGAGAGAAUAGGCUAGCGAACAAGGAGAUCAGAUUUUUAAAGAACAGUCAAGGGCUCAACCUUUCUAUUUGCUUUAUUGAUCCUUCUGAUUCAAAUCAUUUUUGUUCCAGCAAUUUUCUCCCCAUCAUCUUUGUUAAUUCAAGUCAGUAACAUUAUCACAUUGUUCCAGCUUUAGCUUUUUCACAUUGCAUUUUGUUAUGUUCCAAUUAUAGAAAUGUCUCCCUUUCAUCAUAUUCAAACUACCAAUGAAAACUCCUCUUCUGUGUUUGAGUUUGACUCUUCGGUUUAUAAUUUAUGCCUCAUAUAUUAACAUAUAUAGUUCCCUGAUAGGACUUCAUCAUCUUUCUUGUCUUUUCCAAAUUUACGGCAACUUUGGAGGGGUGUCCCAAAUUCUACGCUGUUUUCCUACAUGCCACUGGCUCUCUAGCUGUUCUGUCAGGUCAAUUAGUACAGGUAGAUUAAAUUUCAUAAUAAAUUUCAGCUGUACAUUUAAGCGUGGUCCAUGUUCAGAACAGCAAUGCUUUUUAUGCUUCCAUACUAAAUGGGAUAUAUUUGAUUAUGGUACCAUUUCUGGCUUCCUUUAGGUGUGAAAUUUUAGACUGCAACGAUCUAUUUCAUCGUGCCACCACUGACACAGUUUUAGAUUGUAUGAAAGAAGGGCAGAAUGUGGUGCAGUGAAAUCCUUUAGUCUCCAAACCAGAAGCGGGAUGUUGAAAUGGUGAAAACUCAGAGGCCAUUAAUUUGACUGUAACUAAGAGGCCAUUAAAUUACUGUUAAGGUGACAAGAAAGAAAGAAAAUUGUCAGGCUUAUAAAUGAGGAUGGUACUCCCCUUAACUAUGAUAUAGAUUAGGGGUGUGGUCAGUCAUUGUGAAUCAGAAAAUUGGUAUAAGAUGUUCACGGAAUGAGGUCUAGGUCCUCAUCAUGCUCAGUCUCUAUGGAAUCUUCAUUAUUGAGAACAGCUGCUACCUAGAUUUGAGUAGCUUGUCUUUAUUGUAUUGCAUUUUUUCCUUUCUUCUGAAUAAGCCUUUCAACCUCCUUAAGCCAAGCAAUUUGGCUGACUGCCUGAGGAAAUUAACUUUGUUUUUUUAUUAGGCAAGGGUCACGAGUCUUUGUAUAGAGAGGACUUUCUUAUUUCAAGUUGGUGGACAUGAGUCUUAAUUGUAUUGUCGUAGUACGACCUACAGAAAAAGGAUAGAGGCUUUCUUAGAGGCUGGUUGCCUCUUCUGCUGAUAUUAUUGUUUAGAUGCUGGACCUUCUCUCCCGUGGUGGACUCCACAACCAUGUGCUAUCAAUCUUUUUUCUUCUUCCUUUAUGCAUUUUCUACAAAGCAAAAUGGACAAGCUUCAUUCAAUCUUAUAUAAAGCAGGUAUAUUUUUCUUAUUCUUUUAAACAAAUGACAUUUUAAAUACCAAAUUCAGUUUUUUUUGUUUUUCUAUAUCUAAAUUUAUCUAUCGCACAGAAACCGAACAAUUUCCUUUUUAUUAUUAUCUUCUCUCGAUUUAACCAUAACAUAACCAUCCAGCUUUGUCCAUCUAUUUGGCAUGUUGUAUGAAUACUCAUUUGCCAAUAAUUCUUAAUGAUGGCUACUUCAAAUGAUAAUUUUCUAGAUGGGACGAGGCUCAAAGUUUCAAUUUCUUUUAAUAACUUACAUAUACCUUACCCUUUAAUACUUCAACUUCACAAACUUUUCAUUUAAUUGUUUACUUUUCUUGUGAAACAAAUUAUGCUCCUUAAGCUUAACUAGAUCUUUUUUAUAUUGCACUAAUAUAACUCCUAAAUUUGUUACUAGAGGUUUUGGAUUUGAGUCUUGGGUGAUGCGUCCAAGUAUUUGAGACUGGAUAAUUAUAGUACGGUUGGGUUUCUGAAAAAAAAGAAAUCGUAAUUGCGUUACCAGAGACACAACGACAUUGAGAAUGUUGCAUUGCUUAAGGGAACAUUUUCCCAGAGCCAUCCUUUUUCUGUCGUGGGAUGUAAAUACUUGGCAUCCUGAUGGGAAAUAAUGAAAUUGUGUUUCUGCAAGCUAUACUUCUGCUCAUGAGGUGGGUCAUUUGUUGUGCCUGAGGUCAAAAUUCUCAUAAUCUUGGAUCUUUGCUUGGACACGGCCACACGGGGGAGCUGUUCUCUGAGAAGCAAUAAUGGAGUGUUUUUUGAACCAUUUUGAGGAAUGAAUUUUAUUCUGGACCAUGUCCUGAAACUUUCUGGUCCUGUCAGAGGGUUGCAAUCUUGAGAAAGCAGCAUUGGAUGACAUAUGUUGCCAUAGCUGGUUCUGGCCCAAAGCCGAGUUGGUUGCAAAGAAUAUUUGCAGUUCUGAGGCUCAUGGAUAAGAACUUUGGCAUGACUAUGGAGCAUCCACUCUCAAGUGCUGGUUGGAUUGCCCAUGCAAGAUAAGUUGGCUCAUGGAGAUAGAUAUAAGCUCUAAUAUUUUCUGAUAAAUAAUAAAAAUGAUUAGUGCUGAUAUUACCUUAAUCUAGAUCAUAAGCUCUUAACUGCAGCUCAAGGGAACCUGGUGAAAAAGACAUUUUCUUGAUUCUACAUUGGUGCUUUCAAAUCAUUCAGUCUUGAUGCAAUUCCCUUGUAUGAUAUCAUCUCCAAAUAAAGUUGCUGCCAAAUUAGCUUUUAGCUCGUUGGAGAUCUGGAACAUAGGAGCAAAACCUACAUGAGUUCUGUAUUAUACUUUUUCAUAUGGUUUACAAAUUGCCAUUAAGCAUGCCUCUUCUUCCAUAUAGAACAGUGGAGGUUAAUAAUGCCGAUCCCAACGACAUCUAAUCAGAUGCCUUAAUGAAAGUGAUACAGGUCAGCUUCCAAUCCAAACUGUAUCAUUCAUAGCCGACACCACCACUUUAGUCAAAAGUGGUUCAUAUUUUUAAGUGUUAAAUAUCUGCACCUUCUCUGAAAGGACUAUUAAUUUUUCUGAGCACUACUAGAUUCUUAUAGGUUGGAUCUUGGAAUGUUAUGGCCAUAGGGAAGGGAAUGGGCUGUCACUGAUGCAGAAUGUGAAGGUUACUGUGCCAAAAAAGUUAGGUAAUGGGGCUCGGCAUAUCCUUAUUAUCACACCCUGCGUACUUCUUGUUGUAAGCCACCUUGUGUUAUAAGAUGACAAACCCAGUACUAAAAAGAUUGUGGCCAUUCUGGAGUCCUCUCUUAGAUAGGACCAAAUGGCCAGGUUGUGAACUACUUGUUUUCUUUUAUUAUGUAAGAUUGGAAGUUAUCUUCAAUUAUGACUUUCUUUAGGAGAUAAUUUCUUAUCAUGGUGACUCCUCUGAUGAUUACCAACUGUUUCUUACAUAAAUAACUCGAUUUCGGAUGGUUGUUCUUGCAAAUAACCAUGCUAUAUCAUGAUAAAUUUUUCUAGAAAGUUAAUUUCAGCAGCAGAUCAUCCACAUGUAGCUUCUUGUGUGACCAACAAAUGGCCAGAUAUAACUUAUAAGUAUCACAAUAGAAACAAUUAACUAAAUUUUGAUAAGUCUAUUAUUUUUUAUCAUUUAUUAUAGUUGAUUAAUAGCUGUUUAAUUCUCCUCUCUUUCUCUCUCCCUUUCUCUAAUUCGUGCAUAGCUCACGGGAAUGUGGUAGGUUUCAGCGUACAGACAUCUGUUUCAUGAUGACGAUGACAUACUGGGUGACUGUCAGAUCGCACCAUAAAAUGAUCAGGUAUCCAAAUUUUUUUAAGUUGGCAUGGUUUUGCAGCCGCACGGCAACCCAAUAAUAUGCUAACGAUACGUGAAAACUGAAAAGCAUGGUUUUCUUUCUUUCUUUCUUUCUUUCUUUUUACCAUAGGAAAAAAAAGGCAGAGGGAGUCUUUAAGUGUCCUCCAAAACCAGAACUAGUUUUAACCUCUGUUGCAUCCUGUAACACUGGUAAUUAAAAAUGAAUUGCAACUUUUAUCACCAACCCUGUACUAGAUAAGAUUGAAGAUCCCAUACCCUGUACUACAAGCUUACAGUAUGUAAUUAAGACAGAAUUGCAACUUUUAUCACAAAAUGUCAUUGUGCAUUGACUUCUAUUAGUUAAGAUUGAAAAUCCCAUACUCAAACUUCAAGCUUAUGGAUCUUGGUUGCAACAAAAAUCAAUGAUAACUAUAAAAAAACGUUCUGCAGCCAUCUGGCUAUAAAUUUUCUAGAUUUAUUGAUUUUCUAUGGAAACAAACAAAUAAAAACUAUUUUUUUAGGAAAAUAAGUUUUCUAAGUAAUUUUCCAUGCAAACAAAUACUCUCUAAAGGGAAACAGUAUGUAGGGAAUUAAAGAGUAACUGAUCUAAAAGCAGGGAGUGGAUAUGUGAAAGAAGAAAAUGAGAUUGAUGCCAAGCAAAUUUGCGCAUCUCGAAUUUUCUAAUCUAUUAAAUUUUCAAUGUCAGUCCAAGAGAAACCACAGAAAUAUGAUCCUGAUGUUAUGUCCAUAGCCACCAUUGUGCUAUUGUCGCAUGUUUUCACUUAGAACGAAAAAUCUUAGAUGAAAAAUUGUAUUUUAAAGUAAAAUCUUAGAUUGCUUCAGAAUUAUUAUUGCGUGACGGCAAUCAUAUCAGUCCAAGAAAAACAACAGAAAUAAGGGUCCGUGAUGUUACAUCCAUGCCCAUUUGUGCUAUUAUCGGGCUCUUUCAAACAGUCUUCUAAACUGAAGAGGUUUACAUCUUAAGCUUAGAUGAAAAUUUUAAUUUAAGUAAAAUCUUAGAUUUGCAAUAGCAUUAUUAUUGUAUGACCAUCAUCAUGUGCCGUAUUCCUGUUUAUUCAUUUAAUAUGACAGUAAUUUAUUGAACCUACUAACUCUCAAAAUAACCUGGUGAAAUAUAUGGUAACAACAAGAAAACCCAAGAGUCUUAGUUCCAAGUCAAACAUGCCUCUUCAUUUCCUCACCUAUAUGAAGUUGGAUGAGGAAUUUUGAGCUGCCAUUGAUAAUGGCUUUUGCAUUAAAAGGCUCAUCUGUUGCAACAGUAAUAGCAAAAAAAAACCUAAUAGAAUCUCUCAGGGAUUACUUUCUGCUGCAUAGAACUCCCCAGUCAAUAAGUGAUUACAAUUAACUGAAUUAAGCAAGCCAGAAUAUGCUCAAAUUUUAACAUUAAAUAUUAUAAAGUACAUAAAGAAAGAAAUUUGUCCAUGACAUUAAAAUUUUAGAAUAAUGUCUCCAUCUAUAACGUGAGUAGCACGAUGAUAAGAAGAACAAAAGUAUAAAUGAGCCAUGAUAAAUAACUUCCUUGAACAGUAAAAAAUUAAAGAAAACGUAGCAGGGUCAAAGUUAACAGGUAAUCAAUCAAUGAAAUAUGAGAACAGAUGGGGGAAAACAUAAUUAUGAAAUAAUUAGGAAAGAUGAGAGCUGGAAAACAGAUAUCCACAUGAUUAGAAAAUAAUUUCAUAGGGGCAGUCGUGUCUUUCCAUCCAAAUCUCCUUCAGAGAAGGAAAAGAAACAAAUAUACAAAGUCCCCUCCCUUUCUUGGAGGGAAGAAGGCAGCCAAGCAACGGUCACAUUUUUGGUGUGUUAGCCUUGUGAAGGCGCGGGCCUCAUCAGUUUUGGAUUUUGUCUGCAGGCAGUCACGAGCGAAUGUUCCAUCCCACAUUCCAUUCCCUUUCCCAACACCUCUCUCUCUCUCUCUCUCUCAUAUCUUUUCUCCAAACUUGAUUCAGUAUCCCAAUUCUCCAACAGUUGUAGCUCCCAAGUCCAUGGCUUCUGCCUCCAAGUCUUCACUCUCUUCCAUCACCCAUUCCCAUCUCGACAACAGACUAGACUUAGACUCCAUUCUGUCCAUAGUAUCAUUGGUUAAUCUCCACAUUCGCCGCUUCCUCUCCGACCCUGCUGCUAGGAAGUCUCUCCAGCUCAUAUGCAACUCAAGUCUUACCAUAUCCGACCAUGGUUACUUUGAAUUCUCCGAGCAAUCAGUCCUUUCGAACCUCUACUGGGGAAUUGAGAACAUUGAGCUUGCAAUCCAGUCCAAUGGCCAAGAAGAAAGGAAUUUUUGGCUUGCGAAGGCUGAGCAGAUGUUACAGGUACCAGCAUCUCUAGAGGAGGAUGGGAGCACGGCUGGAAUCGAGAACCGAUUCAUAGUUUGUUGCUCCUACUUCUACCUCUCAUUGGUUCAGAAGCUUAGGGGGGAUGGGUGGCAGAUGACCAUGCACUUCCUCCAGUCAGUGUUAGUCUUCCCUCAGCUGGUUCGAAGAGAGCUUGCACCGGUCUUGUGGCGAAGACUUUUUGGCUCUCUGAUGACAAUUGAAGAUACCGAGGAAGCGGUGGAUGAGGCGGCGAAGCAGCAGGGGAGAAGGUACAAGGAUUGGUUGAUGUACUAUCAGGUGGUUUCAUAUGGGGAGACUCCUCCACAGAUUAAGGGAUGCUCGUUGGUCGAUACCUGUAACAGGGAAGCAGAGAAUCAACAGUGAGUAAUUCAAUUUACUAUAACAUUCCACAGACUGAAAACUGGAGUCUGGUUUUUAGGUACCGGCUUGGGCUUAAAUGUAGAUAAAUCUCACAUUUCAUUAUAAUGGUUAGGAUUUAAAAUGGCAAGUUAUGAUUCCUACUGACAUAACAUGGCACCAUGGGCAUGUUCAUACCCACUAAUCAGCUUUAAGCUUCUUGAGGAAAAGUUGUUUAAAGGAGAAAAAAAAAUUUUCCCUCAAAAGUUCUCUUUCUUUUCUGAACUUUCUCGAAUGCUGCCAAAUUGUUAAAACUUGUAGCUGCAUUAAAAUUCUCAUGGUAGCAAAUCCCACAACUCAAGAUAUUCUUGCAGUACUGGCACCAAGCAGGCAAAUGUACUAUAUGUACCUCAUGAGGAGAUUCAACAGUUGAUUCACCACAUGCAUAACUAUAGUUACAGAAUUUCCUCUACUAUUGGUGUUAUAUAGUGCAGAAGAUCCUAGAAUUUGAUUGCUACUUAGAAACCCCUAGAAAAAAAAUUACAAUCAUGAACUGAAGACUGAAAGCAUGAAAUCCAAUACUCACAAUGUAUGUUUUUCUCAGUUCAGCUUUUGAGUUGCCUCUGAUAACAUCUUGCAAGCAGAAUAUCUGGGCACUGAAAAUGGUGGAACGAGAUUUAGAGAAGCUAACUACUCCCUGCUGGUUCUUAUCCUUGGUCACUGUUCUUGAAACAGGUACACAAAUUUUGCAAGUACGAAAUGGUUUAACUACCUUGAACAAGCACCUACCUGGGCAAGUUUUCAGAUGGUAAGUAUGAAUGUUUUUGAAUAAUGCAGUAUUGAAAUCAGACGAAUUGACAAAUAGACUGCUAAUUUGCGAACAAUGAUUUCUGAAAAGAAAGGAAGAUAGAUAAGAACUUUAAGGUUACCAUAGUGUAUUAAGUGAAGAACAUAAUACAUGAAUUUAUUAAAAAAAUGUUGGAGUUCAUCUUCCUUACUUGCCUUCAGGAAUGUCAAUCUUAUGGUCCUAGAAAUUAGCACCUUGGGGCCAGUUCAAAGGACUCAUAUCACGCAUGGAGGAGGAAAAUGGCAUAAAUCCUAGAUGGUAUACAGCUGGUGUUAGAGAUUUUCUAGGGUCAUAAGCUGUGGAAACCAGAUCACAUGCCUAUUUUGAUCAUACAGUCAGAAGUUUAUACUUUAAGUAUCUAUCACUCCAUACUAACGGCAGAAGAUCCACUCCAGAAAAUGCAUUUCUAAUUUUGUUUUUCGUUUCACUAUUUAUUUAUAUGAAAUAACCAGAGGAUUUGAUGCUAGUUUCCAAAAGAAAAUCGUUCGCAAUGAGAAAUGCUGUCUUCAGGAAGAAGGCAUGAUCUAACCUUGAACAUGGUAUAUGGCAGUCUGACACUUACCCCAAACUACAAAGUCAAACUAUACCGUUAAAAUUCUUCUGGCAGACUGGCACCAUAUGAAAGGCUGCCAUAUACUCUGUUUAAGGUUCUGUAGCCUCUUCCAAGAAGGUGGCUAUACUAACUUUUCCUUUAUUUUCACUGUUCUAGCUACAAUUAUCAGUCGGGGAAGCUAGUUGGCUGCAUAUCCAUAUACAUAAAUGUCAUGUACUAGUUUUUUUGUUAAAAAAUGAUUUCACAUGCAAGCUGCACUGGAAAAUAAAUUUUUUUGACAUGUCCAGUUGAUGGAAAAUAACAAAGAACUCUAUGUCACCCUUAAGUUUGUCUGAUAUCCUAAUCCUCUUGUUUCAAUUUAGCAAACUAAUAAACACAGCCAACUGAAAAUUUACUUUAUAAACAAUUUACGCAUGCAAAAAUUGCCGAAAGGACCUUAUCACUACUUCUGAAUUUGUUUUUCAUGCAGGCUCAGAUGGUAUAUCAACCUAAAGAAAUUAUAGUUAUAAAAAAAAAUAAAGCCUCCACGGCCAAUUCAGAGGAAUGUGAAGAUUUUACCAAACCCAAAAAUGUAAACUCUCUUGUGACAAAUCUGGAUAAGAGUUUUCAUGAAGAAAUUAAGGAAAGCUUUGACAUCAGAUGCCUCCAAGAGAUGCUAGAAGAGUCCCAGUCAGAUUCACCAGUUUCCUUUUAUUCACAUGUUGAUUCUACAGAAACAAGUGAUUCAGAGGUAACACAUACGGACAUCCAGAUACACAUAUACAGACAUUGUAAUGUAAUUUGCAUGAUUUUUAUCUUUGAACUGUAAAAAUAAUAGUAAGAUAACUGGGGCCUAAACUGCUAGGUUAUUAAGGUAGGUUUUGCAAGCUGCGAGUUGCUUAAUCUUAAACAACACAGCCGAUAAGAUAAAAUUUGUCCUGCCUGCUGAUCUUCUAGCAUUCACAGAAGUCAUUCCUUUGUGUAAAGUUGGCUUGUUAAGGACCAGUAAACUAAUUCAGAAUGGACAAUUUGAGAGCUGUUCGUGUGAGGUUCUCAAAUUUUGAUGGAUAAAACAACUUGAUCCGUAGAACCAGACUCAAAAUUAGAUGAGAUAAGGCCUGCUAUUCAAUAUAUAUUUUUCAGUAAUUAUAACUCACUUGCAUGUGGAGUCAAUACAACAGUGAUGUAAAUACACAUCUUUGUGGCAAAGAUUAGAUUCUAGGAUCCAAUGAUAAAUUUCAUUACUAAAAUUACAAUAAAAAACCAACCUUGCUAUCAUCGGACAAGGACUUAUUCUAAAAAUAAAAGAAAAUUGAACAGAAUAGCAUAGUUUCCAGAUCUGUUAUUUUUUAAUGAUUACAAUUCAUCUGAAUCGGAUGAGAAUGCAGGGUAAAGAAAGUCCAGAAAAGAUUCUGUCAACAGAUGCAGAUCUUUCAGCAUCCAAUCAUGGUGAAAGGUAUGUCCAUACCCUAUUAUAUAGCAACUAUCAUCAGCUAUUACUGUAACAAGUUCCUAAUGAAAAAACUAUGAUACAAUCAUAUUGUGUUCUUAUGAUCAUUAUAGGAACUACCAACCUGGUUAUUCAUCUCCUCAGUGUCUAGAGUUAUAUGCUCCUGAUUCUCCAAGCUAUUCAAUGAAUCUGGAAGUCUGCAAAGCAAAUGCAAAUUGUCUAUUAUCUAGCAGAUCACAUAGUUCACUUAAUGAUUUAAGAUUUUCAAUCUUGGAUCGGGGAGAUGGGGAGACAUGCCCAUUUUCCUAUUGUUCUGUAGAAGAUGGGACACCUUCAGGAAGUUCACCACCACAAGACUUAAGAUGCUUUAGCAAUUUCUCAUCUAAAUUUAGAAGGAAAUAUAGCAUAUCUGAAGCAGUUCCUCGAGGAAGUUUUGCAAGGAGGAAAAUAAACUUUUCAAACAAUGAGAAAGACCGGAGUGAUGAAAGCUCGAGUUAUAGGAAAGAUAAUCACAUGGAACUGCUGGAAAGAUUUGAAAAGGCAUUUUCAACUCUAUGUUUCUCGGAAGGUCCAGGAAAAUAUGAAGAUGAUGAUUUGGAAGUUACAACUAUAGGGGAAAUAUUCAACACUAAGAAGAAGGUUAAAUAUAGCUCAGUAAAGCAAGGAAUCCUUGACCAAUUACUGGACAUCAUUUCAACUUCUAAAACGGAGAAAGUCAUUAGGGAAUCAGUAUCUAUGCUCUUACUUCUAAUAUCAGAAGACAAAGCAGUUAUAGAAGACAUUAAGAAAAAGGAUUUACUUCUGAAUUAUUUGGCCAAUGCAUUGAAGAGAAAUGUGCAAGAGGCUGCUAUUCUUAUCUAUUUGCUAAAUCCAUCACCUACACAGAUAAAAGGUCUAGAGCUUCUACCAGCAUUAGUUGAGGUUGCUUGCAACUCAAAUGGUCAGAAGGGGUAUUUGUCACUUACUAUAACACCAACAUCAGCAUCAAUAGCCAUGAUUGAAGUAUUAGUAACUGCCUUUGACUAUGUAACAAAUAACAUGCACUUGGGAGCUAUUAGUUCUCCUCAGAUUCUCUCUAAGCUUGUAAAUGUUGCCAUGAACAAGAAUUUAGAAGAAGGUGUGGCUUUGGCAGCGAUUCUUGUUAGGUGCAUGCGUCUGAACGGGAAUUGCAAAAAGUUUUUGUCACAAGUCACUCCUGUGGAUUCAUUCCUCUAUCUUCUUAGAAGAAAUGAGAAACGUGCCAAAUAUGCUGCACUUGAAUAUUUCCAUGAGAUUCUUCGCAUGCCCAGGUAUUUUCAUAUGUUUUGAAUUGCUUAUUUCAAUAGCUAAUCUCAAUUCACUUGUGUCCAUAUGUUUUUGUAUUUCAUAGAUGGGAUAUGUUAUCUAUAUGAUUCAGGUUUAGCUUUUGACUAUUUCAACUCUUCUUGAGGCUUAUUCAUUUUUUCGAAAAAUAAAUCAUCAACCAGAAACAGAAAUAGCUGUCUCAGAUAAUCAAAAGAAUGACAAUAUUAAACAUAGUACACAUUUAGAAUACUGCAAUUUUUGUAUAUAAAAUAUUUAAUACAAGUUAGCAGCAUAAUAUAACUAAUCAAAUUCAUAUAAAGGUAGAUAUGCGAAUAGGAUGGUUCUGGGAUAUGGAUUUCCAAAACUUUCAACGGCCAGCCCCAUUACUCAAACCAAACAGUGUAAAGUUCUCAGUUGGUCCAUUUGCAUCCCUGUAAUAAAAGGUUUCAGUGAAUCAUAAAUCCAAAACCAUCCAAUUCUACAUUAAUUGUGAUUGCUUCUCUGCAUGUCUCAAUGACAACAAAAAUUUAUAACUACAUACAAAAAACUAAAUGUUACAAUGCAAGACAUAAAAGAGUGGGGUGAAUAUUAGAUGCUCUAGCAAUAUACAGCUGGCUGUAGACCAUUAUGGUUUCCUUCUGUUUUAUCUGGAAACUGUUUUUGUUCCUCAUAUCUUAGCCAAAUAAUGAGCCGCAGGACUCAACCCAGUAAAAAUUAACCUUUUGAGUUUAAAAUACAAAAUCAAAACAGAGUACACAUCUAUAAUUAAUUGACAUUAAUGAACUUGCUAAGUACUAGUAUCCUAAUGUUUCAGGUCAUCAGCCAUUCAUUUGCUCCAUCAGAUACGACAGCACAGAAGCUUCAGCAUUAUGCACACGUUAAUGGCGUGUAUCCAACAAGCUGAACCUGAAUAUCGACUUUUGGCAGCAAAUCUUCUGGUUCAAUUGGACAUGCUGGUAUAGUUUAUUCAGUGGUAUACUUCAAAGCAUUCAGUUAAACAUAUGAAGAUAUAUACAUCAUUGAAAUGCAAUUUCCAUCAACAGAUUGUAGACUAUAAUUUUCUAUUGUCAGUUCACUAGAAAUCUAACCUCUCAUGGUUACUUGAGACUUCUUUGCUAUAAACACUGAAAAUCUUGGCCUUCUGCAGAUCAAAUUCUAAACAUUUUUCCACCUUGUAGAUAUCCAUGCAUUUUGAUCAGAGUGAAAUAUUUUGAAAAUUUUAUCUGUAAACUAAUCAGGCAGUUCUCAGCCAUUAUAAUGAUCAUGAAGGAUUUGUGAUUCAUUGAAUCAUUUUCAUGUUGUCUCAGACAGUGAACCACUGCGAAGUGCCUCUUCCACAAUUUAUACCCACAAUUUAUAUGAUAUCUUAUCAAAUUAAUAUUCUGAACAUAUAAUAGAACUAUAUCAUUUUUUUUUUAAACAUUAUAAUUGUCUACAUGAUUCACGAACGAGAAAAGUUUUCUUUUCUAGGAAUAGAAAAAAUGUUAGAAGCAGGAAUUGACAUUAAAGAAACAAAUCUAUCGCAGGAACAUUCAAGUGGCAACAGUGCAUUCAGAGAAGAGGCAAUUGAAAUCCUAUUAGAGUCAGUUGCAUCAGAAGAAAAUUGCAGCACACAGACACUGGCAGCAUUUAUUUUUUCAAACCUUGGAGGGACUUAUUCUUGGACAGGGGAACCAUAUACAGCAGCAUGGCUAGUAAAAAGGGCAGGUUUGGCAUCAGUACAUCAUAGGAAUAUGAUCAGAAAAGUUGACUGGUUUGAUCCCUGUCUACAGGUACUAGUCAAACAAUUUUCAUCCAUCCUAUUUACAACUAGAACCAACCAUCAUAUUGUAGCGUUAACGUCAAGGUCGGCGGAACCAUCCCAAACCGUACUGACCGCAGACCGGGAUGGUUCCGGAGACGAAAACGAGACUGGCACCGGAGGGAGAGAAGACGAAGGAAAAAGAGGAAGAGAGAGAGAGAGAGAGAGAGGCGGGGGGGGGGGAGGAGGGAGGAGGGAGGAGGGAGGANNNNNNNNNNNNNNNNNNNNNNNNNNNNNNNNNNNNNNNNNNNNNNNNNNNNNNNNNNNNNNNNNNNNNNNNNNNNNNNNNNNNNNNNNNNNNNNNNNNNNNNNNNNNNNNNNNNNNNNNNNNNNNNNNNNNNNNNNNNNNNNNNNNNNNNNNNNNNNNNNNNNNNNNNNNNNNNNNNNNNNNNNNNNNNNNNNNNNNNNNNNNNNNNNNNNNNNNNNNNNNCUCUCUCUCUCUCUCUCUCUCUCUUUUUCUCUCUCGUUCUCUCUUCCUCGCCUCUUCUACUGUAUCGGUACAGGCCCGGAGCAGCCUGUACCGACUUGUGCCACCGGGCAAUUGGUAUGGUGCCUAGUACUGGUUUUGCCGACCCUGGUUAACGUACAUAAUGUGUUGCUUCAAUUUGGUGAUGCAUUAAACUGAAAUAGAACAUAUGUGUCUAUUUUUGAUAUAGUAGACGAUAUUUAUGCAGGACUCCGAAACAAAUGCAUGGAGUGCCAAAACUGCAAAAGAUGUCAUCAAAUUUGGUUGUUCCAUCUUUAAUGCUUUGGCAAGGGGAGUUCAGAGCAAGAUAAAGAGUGUUUCACAUGGCUGUCUUAUAUGCAUUGCAUGGCUUGGAAGUGAAAUGGCAGUUAUGGGUCCAAGUAGCCUCAGAUAUUAUGCCUGUGAGAUUUUGUUAAGUGAAAUAGCACACUUCCUCCAUCCAGGGUCAGAGCUCGAUGAGCGAAUUCUAGCAUGUCUUUGUGUGUACAAUUACACAUCUGGUAAAGGUAAUGGAGUUUUUGACAGUUACAGUCCCUCAUGCACAGAGUAGUAGCAAAGUCUCAAUAACUCAAUUCUACACUGAAAAUGCUUCUGAUUAAAAACAAAUAGUUCUAGACUAUUAUAGUUAUGAUUUACAUACUUCCUCAAAGGUAAAAAGCUAGCAGCAUAUUACCACCUAAGAGAUACAUAACCCCAACCACCCACCCCCCCCCCCCCAAAAAAAAACUAUUAUCACUAUGGUUUUGCAUUCAUUUACUAAGAAAAUAGGAACCUUGAGGUGAUAAGAACAACUUAACCCAUCAAAAAUACCUUCAAAAACCUUAUACAUCUAACUUUGAUUCCUUUAAAAUUUUAACAUGCCACAGUGGUGAUUUCAAAAGUUCAUGCGUUCUGUUUAGAUUAAGCGUAUUGUUUUCCAUAUUGAAACUGUAACCUUUGCUGGAUUUUCUCUAUAUGCAGGAAAGCAGAAAUUAAUGAACUUCUCAGAAGGUUUACAAGAAUCACUUAGACGUCUCUCAGGUUACACAUGGAUGGCUGAGGAAUUACUAAAAGUUACAGAUUAUUUUCUUCCCACCAAACCAGUGAGUGCAGUUGUUAGUUUUUAAAAUUGUUACAUAUACGUGGAAAAGUGAGAUUAUAACUCUUAACAUUGGUAGUGCAAACUUAAGAAACACUGCAAGAUAACCAUUACAUAGUAGUAAUGGCUGCAUAUGAUGUGUUACAACAGUCUGAUAACUACAUUUGAAAUUGUGGCCUAUGGUUUAACUUCACAUACAUGCAAGAAACUACUUGAAAGUGAAACAAAUUCAUUUAAAGUUUUAUCCUUGGAACUAACAGAAAUUAAGGAUGUAUAAGGUCCUUUAAGCAAGUAAAUCAAAAACAUCAACUGUUGCCAAGAGGUUCUAGUCCUCUCACAUCAACCGCAUUUCUAUCUUCUUGAAACACAUUAGACUUCUCAGCUUUCAUGUAGAUAUGGAGAAUUAGAAAUAUUUUGAAACAGAAAACUGAAAAUUCUUUUAUAUGGUCUUCUAUAAGUGACAAUUCCCAGCAAACUCUAGUACUUGAAAAAUCCCACACAGUUGUUCAAGAAAGCCAAAUAAACGCCUUAAAUAUAUAAUGCCUCAGAUAAAGCAUAACAAUUGUUUAAAUUAAUAAGGGUACUUAUAAGAAUCUACCUUUCCGAUCUAGUUGUUGGCAUAAUACUUAGAACUGCCAACAGAAUCACGAGAAUGUAAAAGAAAUUAGAAUGCUUAUAGUAUGAAAGGCUAAAUAAUUGAAGAUAUCCUAAUGUAGUGUCAUCUAAAUAUACCUUUAACUUAUUAUUAUAUUAUAAUUUGAUAUAUGAAAAUACAGUUACCUCGAAUUAUGAAUGAUGGACACAACAUGAUAGGCAAUUCCCAGUUUAUUCAAGCAGGGCAAAAGUAACAGGAAAAAAGCACUUUUUGAGAUUGAUAGUUUGGUUAGAUAAAGGAUAGCUAACUUCGAGGGGGGGAAAAAUCUUGAAUUAACUGUUCCAGAUGAAAGAUGUUAGCUUAUUGCAGAACAGCCUACUCAGAUUAGCCGGUUCUAGAUCCCAUAAUGAGGUCAAAGAACUUUUGAUUUAAUUCACCAUUCUUGCAAUGCCAAGCUUUAUUAGAACUUGAAAGCAUUACAGUACCUCUGAAUUGAAAUCACAGAAAUCUGAAUAUCACAUAUUUUUAAAACAUGCUGAACUUCAAAUUUAGAUUACCUUUAUGACAUCAGUUAUUUUGUUAAUAUCAGCUUCAAGCCUUCAAAUGUCCAAUGGAUGCCAAUAAUAAGAAUACAAAGAAAUUAUGCGAUUCUUGUUAAAGAUAUUUCUAUCAUAAAUAUAGAUAACAUUGGAAGGCUCUUACUGCAAAAGCAAUACAUAAGUCACUCUACUUCUGAAAAAAUAACGGUGCAUUAGCACUAGCAAGGCAUUAACUAAACACCUGCUCAGAUGCCAACAUAGUAACAGAAAUAUAUAAUGAAGGAACUCUUAGAUAACAUUUGCGCAAAGAUUGUACAUAUAAGUGUGAUUUCCAUGCUUUGUAGUUACUAUAACACUAUUAGCAGCAGACCCUUACUAAUGUCCUCCGAAGCACAGAUCAAUCUGUCAAUUAGCAUGAAAUCCUUGCAACAUGUUUUUUUAUGUUAAAUAUAUUUUGAUGAAUGAAAGUAAAUAGUCUUGUUUCACAUUUUAAAGGUCUACAAUUAUGCUUGCAUAUUUCCUCUUCAUCUUACUGUUACUUUAAUUCUCAAAUUAAGAUUCAUUGGCUUUUUUACUACUCUGUAAUAAGAAUAUAUGACAUUGACUCACUAGUGCACAUCAUCCAUCUAACGAUGGCAAUUGCAGCAUGUGUCAUGUGCACAUACACAAAUUCUGGAAGUAGGCCAUGUUGGAAGCGGAGCUGCAACUGCUCUUAUUUUCUACAAAGGACAGCUUUGUGCUGGAUACUCAGAUGGCUCGAUUAAAGUAAGGAUAUAUUUGAGACAGAAUGUUAUGUAGCUAUCAUUUUUGACAAGUUCAGAGUUACUUUGCAAUAUCACAUAUUCCCAAAUACUAUAAAGAUGGAAAAAGAAUUGUGCUGUAUGCAGCUCUAGCCAAGAUGAAAGAUUUGAUCAGAAGCAGACAUUUGAUCUUAUUGCUAUUAAAAAAUGUUAUCUUGUAACAAAAAUGGAAAAAGAAAUGCAAAGUCAUCAUGUCAAAAUGAUGACAGAUUAUAUCAAGUAUGUUACGAGCCGGACAUAUUUUUUAUUAUGCCAGAAAUAUUUGCUACUUGUCAAAAUAAUAUGCGAAAAUUUCAUCUGUCAUUAUAUGUCAACUUAUAAUGCCUAUCAAAAUAUGAAACUCUAAUAUAUUUGAUGAAUCAAAUCAGGUCUGGGACAUCAAGGGACAAAGAACAAUGCUCGUAUGGGAGGCCAAGGACCACAAAAGGCCCGUAACCUGCUUAACACUUUUUGAACCAGGGGAUAGCCUUUUAAGUGGAUCCUCUGACAAAACUGUUAAGGUAACUGAUCCCAUCAUAUAAACAGACUAAGGAUUCAUUAUUAAAAAAUAAUAAAAGAACAAGUAAUAAAAAGCUCUUUUUCAUUUACAGGUCUGGAAAAUGCUACAAAGGAAGUUAGAAUGUGUUGAAGUUAUAGAGAUGAAGGAUCCCAUUCAAAAAGUAGAAAGUUGUGGUGACAAAAUUCUUGUAAUUACACAGAGCCAUGGUCUCAAGGUAAAGGUCAGCCUAUUCUAGUUGCGACUAAAGUGUACACUUUGUACUACAGGGUUCAGAUUCUGUAAUCAAUACAUUCAAGAUUCAGGAUUAGCUACGGUGACAUCCAUAAGCAUAGAAGCUCUUUUUUUCCUUGUUUGUCACCUUUGGAUAAUUGUUCAGCGUGCUUCACUCUAUCAGGACUGAGAAAUGCAAUUUGACAUCAUGUUAGAGCAAUAUUUUAUAGGUCUGCCAUGAAUCAAGAAGCAUCGAGACUACAUGCAAGAAAAAGCAUGUUAAAUGCCUAACAGUUGUCCAGGGAAAAGUUUACCUUGGUUGCACAGAUUCAAGUAUACAGGUUGGUUUGAUGUUUGGACUUCAUAUGAAUUCAUGAAUAUUUCAUAGCAUAUAAGAAUCGUUUCAUUAUAUUCAUCCAAGCCUUUUUUCAUCAGAAGAUCCAACCAUUUAAAGUGUAACUGAAAUUUCCUUCAGGAAGUAGAUAUAAUGGCAAACUAUAAAACAGAGAUCAGACCGCCUACAAAAAGCUGGAGAAUGCAAAACCAAGCGAUAAACUCUAUUCUGGUCUAUAAAGGAUGGGUUUACCAUGCAGGUGUUGCUGUUGAAGGAUCGAGUAUAAAGGUACGUAUUAUAAUAUUUAACAUAGGAACAAUUAAAAGGAUCAAAGCAAUCAACUAAUUUAAUCUGAGAAAAACUCAGGAGUGGAGAAAGUGCUGCCGACCUCAAAUUUCAAUAGCGAUGGAAAGGGGAACAAAUGUGCAAGCCAUGUCAGUAGUGGAGGACUUCAUUUACUUGAACUGCAGCUCAUCGCCAAGUAUUAUUCAGGUGAUUGUCAAGCCUAUUUAUUGAAAUUUUCUUAAUAUGAAUCUUGUCAUAUACUUGCAAUUUGGUUGGUUAUAAUUGGAUGAGGUAAUGUGCAACAGAUUUGGUUGAGAGGAAUGCAACAGAAAGUAGGUACAUUAGCAGCAGGUAGCAAGAUAACAAGCCUCCUGACAGCAAAUGAUAUUAUCUUUUGUGGUAGUGAAAAUGGGUUGAUCAAGGUGCGUUAAGCAAGCUAAUUAGCAUUGUAAAAUUAAACCUCCAAAUAGCGUAUCUUGCUAAUAUUCUUACCCUAAUUACACAUGGAUGACAGGGCUGGAUUCCUCUCUAAAUACACUGGAACAAUGAAUGUGGGAGCUACAGGUUGUAAAUUUUUCAAUACAACUAGGCAGAGAGAAUGUAGAAAGGAUAGGAUAUUGUGAGUUAAUUCAGUUCACAAGACAUAAAUAGAGUAUUUCAUGACCAGCAAUGCGAAUGAGUGUAAGUGAAAAAAAAAGUUGCAGGGUUGCUUUGUUGUUGAUGAAUAAUGGGCAUGCAUUUCUUAAGCUUCAACUGUAUGUGUAUUAAAGCUGAAGAUUGAAAAUGCAGUUGCUUAUAUGUGUAUCAAGGAUGGAUAUUGAAAUAGAAUGGUUUGGCAACUAGACAAGAUAAAACUUAUCUAUCAUGCCUCUGCUUGUUGAGCGAGGAAAAUUUUUUCAUUCAACGAGGCCACUGGAAUGAUGAUAUCAACCUUGACAUGCUCCCCCUGGGUAUACUUAAACCUAGCUUGUGAAUACUGUUUUAACAGGCUAUGUAACAAAAAUCAACUCCACUGGUUUUGAUUUGAAUGGUUAAUACCAGUUACAUAAGCAUUGUUCUUUUUUGUUACUUUUAUCUUCAAUCCAGUGACAGAAUAUGUGAACUGAGAAAAGCUAUAACUCUGUUAAACCAUUACUGUAUGUCAGAAAAAGGAAAAUGAAAAGGAUGAAAAAAAGGCAAAAGAAGUCUCGAGUUUUCUACCAAACAUGGGACCAAGCAAUGUGAGUUAAGUUUCUUACCAAUAACAGAUUGGCAAUGCUUCCUAGCAAGAAAGAGAAAAAAAAUUAAAUGUUAUUGGAAAAGUAUUGAGAGAUAAGAACGAUAAACUCUUAAAAAGAGGGAAGAAGGACAGGGAAGAAGAACCUUAUCAGGUACACCAGAAGGACAUAAAAGUGAUUUGAAAGCCUCUCUUUUGACAGUUGGACAAACUCUCCUUUUGCACAUAAAAAUGAAUCAUAUGACCAAAAUAAUCCAAAAGGAUUUUUUACAGCACAUGUUUCUUUUUGCCCGGUAGUUCUUCUCACCAAGAAAGAAAUAAAGCAGUCAUAGGAAUUUUCCUUGGAACAGAGGAUAAAUUAAAUACCUUCAUGCUCAGGUAGGCAGGUAGCAUAAAGAGAUGGCUCAGCUGGCUCAUCAUGCAAUUAAAUUAUGUCUUGGAUACUGAGGUACCCUUCGUAGCUUUUUAUUUGCAAAGAAGGGUCGUUCAGAAACUAUUCUCCUUCUUGUGCUUCUUCUUCAUCCACUUUUUGAUUUGCUUCAGUAGCUUCUUUCCCUAUAAAGAAAAGAGUCAAAAAACAGAGAAAAAAUUUGUUUAAUAUCAGUGAAUAAUAAUGCUAAAGUGAUGAACCAGGUAACACAAUGAAAGCUGCAGGAGUGUGCCUCUUAUCAGACCACACAUGCCUAUAGAAAAGCAAAUGGUGCAGCUGAUUGAGUUGCCUCCUAUACGGCUCAUCAUCUGGAGGCUUCAUAUGGAUGGAGCAUGACAUAGUGCUGGGUUCUUUAUCUGCCCUGUUGUUUACUAAUUUUGUUGGCCCCAUCCACACUCGUAGGAUGUGAGCCGCCGUUGUACUAAAAAAAAAAAAAGCUGCAAGUGUAUCUAUGCUUUAACAAUGAGCUAAAGCUAAUAAGCAGAAUAAACCAUCACAAUGCAUGGCGUGUAACCGGACCUUAUUGUUCCAAAAAUAACAAAUCCAUUUACAUGCUCCAUAAAUAGUACCCUUGAAGACAUGCAAAAUAAUCUGUUUUGCUAUAACAUCAUCAUGGACUCGAGCAUCUCAUCCUCUGUUAUCCAUGAGAAAAAUGUUGGAAAAAUUAUGACUAAAUCAUAGUUCUUGAGCCAACAGCAAGUUAUAUCCAAAAUACUUCCUGCCUAAGAUGAAAGCUGCUAGUUUUCAAAUACGAGCUUAUAUAUGGAUGACUAUUUUUAUCCUCAGUGUAAAAUAUCUUGGCCAAAGACUUAUGCAACGUACGUAUUAUACAAACUAUUAGGCCUGAAGUGAGAGGGGAUUUUCAAGCUCUUGGCUUAUUACCUGACGUAAAAAAGUUGCUUCUCUGCAUGACACAUAUCUGGCCGAAUUCUCCAAUAUGCCCUGAAAAAACCCGGUGGAAACUAUUAGGCUCUAGGGCCUUAUUGGAUCCUGUUGAUCUGAAUGUCAACUAAAUCUCAUCAUAUGUAGCAUCUGCACAAUGCUUCGUCCUAUCAAUAUCAUUUAAACCAUGUCACUUGUGGCACUUUACAGGUCAAAUUUGUAUCAAGCUGAUUCCAUCUUUCUUGGGGGGAAAAAAUCUAUUCUAAUAACUCUGAUAUGUUUUUCACUUUCAAUAACUUCUGUUACAUUGGAAAUUGAUAAGAUUCUAUUGCACACGUGCCUUAAGAUUAUAGAUCUGUGUUCCAAUCUCCAUUUUUGAUCCAAUCUACCCUGGAUUUCUGCUGCCAAAAUCUAUUGUGUUGAAGAAGUAUAUGGUACUAAGAGAUGAGUGAUCCAAGUGCUUCAACUCUUUUGAUAUAAGCCUACCUCAUCAAACUCUGUAUUAAAGUAUAAAAAUUAGUUUUUCUAUAACUAUAUGAAUAGGGAGAGAGACUACUUGGAAGAUGUUAUUUGAAUUUUUUGGUUGUACAUUUCUCCAGCACACAAUUAUUGUGGGACUAAAUACAUGUUUGCAUCAGCUCUCACAUACUUCUCUGCUUAUAUCUUAGCAUUCUCGCCAGGCUAAAGAUUUAAAUAUAAUCAAAUCUUAUUAUAAACACCAAAUAGGCCCAGAGUUAUCCCCAAGUCUAUAAGGACCAUUGGUCAGGUUUUCUUUAAUAUCAUUUACAAUGAUCCAUGAUCUUGUCCAAAAAGACUAUAUGGAAAAUAUUAUUUGUAUUCCUUAACCUUGUAUAAGUAUCCAAGAUCUUUAUAAUAUAUAACUGAUAUUAGACUAAAUACAUGCUGGCAUAAAUCCUCACAAUUAUGCAGUUAUAUAUUUUCAAAAAUCCGAAAGGCAAAGACCUCCAAGGUAUGUGGAAAAAGAUGCGAAGCUACACGGGGCAAAUGCCAACUCCAUCUUCUGUGGACAAUGCAUCAACCUACACGGGGCAAGUAUGCACUCCACUCCAUCAUCUGGAAUAAUAGAGGUAAUUAUAUGACCUCAACCACCACCCAAUCAAUAUUAAAUCUUUCUCAAAUCCUCGCCAGACCAUCAUGAUUGUUACACCAUGCGAACUUUGGCCUGGAGCAACACACCUCAACAGGACCAUUGCUCUGGAGAAACUCUCUGAUUUCAUUUGAUUCCAAAUCAUCAACAAAUGGCAAUCCUUAAGAUGGCACAAAUUAAAAUCAUCUGCGAGGAAUGUUUGAACUGUGGAAUCCUUAAGAUAGCAGAAAUUAAUUCGUUCCACAUAUUUCUCCCAGUGAUUCCAGAAGUGCUUGUGUAAAUUGCCACCAAACCCAUACAUCACUCGGUUGGAAGCUGUUGCAAAAUCCGUAGUAUCAAUUCAUCAUCUGCACCUCGUCGGAGCAACUCAAGCCCAUCCUCUUCGUGAUGCAGCUCACUCACAUGCAUCACGUAGAAAAGAACCCCUGUACCUGUUCUUGCCUCAGCAAAAGCACCAAUCUUCCUCGAUUCUUAACCAUAAUUUUCCUUUCCAUCGCUUCCUGUUGUCAUCCUAGUAUGACAGGACGUAACAGGCCCACUACGUCUCCUUCACGAGAAGCUCACCUCCUCCCUGGAACCUACGCCUUCCAUCCUCCCCCUUUCCAUAUCGUACGCCAACUCUUCCCCCCUUUAUUGCACUUACCACCUUCUCGCCACACACCACAUAUAGCUCCCACCUGUAAAGCCCAAACCCUACCCCCAACCCACCUAUAAAGUUGACCCCCUCAGUACUCUCUUUCUUCAUCCACUCACAAACCAUGGCCACCCUACCCCUCUCCCCUCUCCUUUUCUUCGUCACCAUCUCAUCUCACCUCGCCUCCUCAACUGCCGCCAGCGCCCACUACCUCGAGGCUGCAUGCAACGUGACGCGGCACCGCGCCCUCUGCAUGCGCUCUCUCGAAUCCUUCUCCCACUCAGCAGCCUGGAAGCAGAAGAACCCAUGCUGGUGGGCGCGCGGGGCGGUCGCCGUCACGCUGACCGAGGCCAACGACGUCGGCCGCUACCUCGCAAAGAUGAAGCAUGGCGGAAGGACGCGAGGGGGGAGGGCCGGGAGGGCGAUGGCGGACUGCGUCGAGUGCUUCGGGGAUGCAGUGGCGGAGCUCCGCAGCUCUCUCGGGGAGCUCCGGCGGCUGGAGAGGGGGACGUUCGAGUACCAGAUGAGUAACGUGGAGACCUGGGUCAGCGCAGCGCUCACCAACCAGGAUACUUGUCUUGAUGGGUUUGGUGGGUACAAGGGGAAGGAGGUGGGGGAGGUGAAGGCUAAGGUCCUGAAUGCUACGUAUCUCACUAGCAAUGCAUUGGCUCUGGUUAAUAACCUGGCGUCUUCUGGAGCCUGGAGGAAUUAGCUAAUGAUAUCUUAAGAACUACUAUAUAUCUUGAUCAAGAGGAUAUACUAGCCUUUAUGCUUAUGCGUGAUUUAUAAAGGUGUAUCAUGUUGUAUAUUGUUAUCAUUUACCUUGUCAUGACAGCUAUAUAUACAAAGGUGCAGUCGUUGGAUGCUGGGAAUAUAUGGUUCUGAGGAGAAUAGUGAUGCUGUGAUCUACGUUACGUUUUAAUUGGAGAAUUAAGAUAUAUAUAUGGUAAUUGUGCUAAUGUGACCGAUAUUAGAGACAUGUUAGUUUGGCAUGUAUGUCUUUAUGCAGCUUUGACAAGGUGAAGACGUAUUGAAGUGUCCACCUAGCUCAGAGUCUUCCAAGCAAGAGGAUCGCCCUUGAGUGACUCUGACACUAGCAAGGAUCAGAUCAUUGACAUGAAAAACCCCAUGCGUUAAUGAAUAUAUUUUUUUUUACUUUUGAGCUACGUUCGUGAUUCGUAGAUCAAUGUUUUAACUUGCGUUCAGGUGAAGGUUUCAUGAUUUAGAUUUAUCGAUGCCUGAAAACAAGAUUUUCGUGCUAUGCCUUGUAUUUGGAAGAAAUAUGAUAAAUUAAAGAUUUUCCAAUUAAAAAAAAAGGAAAGAUAUCUUGUACCAUAAGAGAUCAAAACUUUGCUCAAUUUAUCUCGCUAAAUUAACACAGUAGAAUUAACAAUCUAACAAAAGAAAUUUUAGAUUGAUGCAUCAUAUUUUGUAGCGCAUGGAAUGAAUGAACCGGGACUUUGUUUGAUACAUUAGGUCAAAUCUUCCUUUUCUUUCUGCAUAAUUAAUGAAUAUCUUAGAUAAGGUCCAUUUGAUAGGAGCUCAAGUUUGUACACAAGUAGGGUGGGAAUUUAACUAUGCAUGCCAUGCAAAAGUUUAUGCAAAACUUAAUUGAUUGUGAUGAAGUGGUGCUGUAAUCACUAAUCUAAGUCAUAAUGAUAAGUAAAUAAUUUUUUUUUUGAAUUCUUGGAUAUUGUUAAGCAUUUACCUCUCUUCAUUUAUACCCUUCAUCUAGUAUAUGUACAUGAACUCUUUAACUUCUCAUCAAUGCUAAGCGUACAUACUAGGACNNNNNNNNNNNNNNNNNNNNNNNNNNNNNNNNNNNNNNNNNNNNNNNNNUUAUAAAAAAUAAAAUAACUACAAAAAUAAGAGAGAAAGAUGAAAAUCAAAAGUAAAAAAAAAGAAGAGGGAGAUGAAGCAAGAAAGGCAAGGAAGCUAAAAAACCAAGCCAAAAUGCAUUGUCAAGGAUUAGGAAUGGAAUCUGGUGAGGCUCCAGUUCAAAGCCAAAAUAUGCCUUACCCGGAUCAAGCCUAAGCUGGCUAUAGAUCAAAGCUUACGACGGUGCCGAGAAUGAAGACAAGGGCAUCCAUGCUCUCCAUUGAAAGCAAGCGAGUUUACCGUCGUCCACUGGUAGGACUAGGGCAUCAUGAUCUUAUAAACCAUAAGGUGGAGGGGGGAGAGAGAGGGCGGGCCAGCUAGACCAUUGGGCCAAGGCACUAGAUGUGGGGGGAGAGAGAUCAGGACUGAGAGGAAAGAAAGAGAGGAGGUUGCUGAGAGGGGUUUGUGAUGGUAUCGUACGGAUCAUCAAAGUAUUUACAGCGAAAGAUAAGAAUAUUUGUUCAUGAUAUUACCGCACAAAAAAGUAUGCAUAAGGGUUAAAUUAAUUUGUACUUUCCAAUAGUGAUGAAUUGAAUGCAGAUUUUUACAUUUUUGGGAGAUGCCGAGGUCGCAAAAGUAUACAAUCCUCUAAGAAUUACUAUCCUAAAACCACUUCAGUGCAUGCACCUAUCUUCUAGAGCUCAAUGGGCUCUAAGUCUCUAGAAACUAAGGUCAAGGUGAUGCACUAUUGGAGAUGCUUGUCCCACAAACUUUUUUUUUUCUCUUAUCUUGAUGGAGAAGAAGACCCUCUUUUUUCUUUCUUGAUGGAGAAGACCUUCGGCCCUUCUCUUUCUGCCCCCAACACACACUCUCUAUGGCCUCUUGGUAUUGUACUAGGAUGGGUGCCUCCUUUUUUAUAGAAGAGGAUGCCUUGCCCUCUUCUCUGAGACCUAGAAGUAAUCGGCAUGUAGGAGGUAAGAGAGAGGCAUGUAGGAGGUAAGAGAGAGGCAUGUCACCUUUCCUUCUAGGCCACCCCUCUCUCUGGAGUCCCACGCAGACUCCUAGUCCAUGCCAAGGAGGGAAAAGGGGCAUUGGCCCUAAAUGAGGGCGCCCCUUCCAAAUGAGGCACAGGUAGGUGCCUUUGGUAGUGCACCAAAAGAGUAGGGGCACCAGCCCAUUCAGUUGGCUUCCACUCAGGUCCAACUCGAGUGCCUUUGACUCAACCAAACCAAGUCUGGCUUAGACCAAUCAAUAUGACCGGACUAAUUUGUUAGCCCAAUCUCUUGUCCAAUAUAAUCUAGAUCUUUUUUGGUCCAAUGAAUGAGAGAAUCUUCAAUUAGAUCUAUCUUAAUUGAACUAUUGGAUCUUUCUUGGUCCAAUAAAUGAGAGAAUCUUAAUGGAUCUAUCUUAAAUUUUCAUUGCAUUACUGGGAUAGGUCAAUUCAGAUUCCCAUUUAUCAAAGAUAUGCCCCUUCAGGUUUGCUUAUACAUUUGCUGCAUAGUCCAAUAUAGGAAUACGAAGUACACAUCGCAUUAUUGAACCUCUUGGUUAGUAGAAUAAAAUCCAUUGGUCUCUCUAUCCCUGCACCAGCCACAUCCUGCAAUUAAGUCUUCUAUCAAUCUGAUGUCCGUAUAACACAAGGCACUGUUAGACCUUUAGUCAAAAUAAUUAGUAAAAUAAUUAUUUUCAAAAUCUUUUCAAGUUGCUACGUGGACCUCAAGACUUGUAUAUCUAAGUAUGUUUCUAUUUUAAUAUGAAUGUUAUGCCAAUUUGAUGGUUUGCAUAUUAGACAGCCUGACCCUUGCUCGUAUUAGAAUCUAUUAGACCACCAUGCUCCAUUUCAAGAGCAAAGUCCAAGAUGUCAUGGUCAACACACGAGUUUUGGCCACAAAUAUACCAACCUCCAUAAUACAGAAAAGUGUCUUGUCCUUCGGGUUAAGGAACGUUUUGUAAGCUCAUGCACCUGGUUCAUACCUUAACCCCUGCUAGUGCUUUGUGAGUUAGGCUGCAAAUAGGUCAGGUUGACCCGUGACCCGACCCAGUUAGACCUGACCUGACCCAUUUUAGAAGACCCGUGGGUUUGGGUCGAGUUCCAAAAUUGGACCCAUUCUAUUUUUUGGGUCAGGUCUGGGUCAACCUAAUUUGGACCCGACCCGGACCAGACACGACCCACUUUUUUUGGGUCAAUUUUGGAUCGUUUACCCAACGACCCGUCCGACCCGACCGAACUCAAUUAUGCAUUUAGACCCGCGGCCCACAGGCCGCAGUAGCAACCUAUAGGAAAAAUCGCUCUGUCAAUCGGUUUUUCAUGAGGAGUCCUCAGGCUCAUAACUCAUUCACUGCUUGAAGCUCAGGCAAGCUAGAAUCAUAAGCCCAUUCGCUCUCUUUCGAAGGGGAUCCAUCGCCCCAUCCGUAAAUCACUAUAAGCCCAUCCAUCACUCCAUCGCUCCUAACUCCUGAGUCCCAAUUCUUCAUUCUCCUGAGAGCUGAGGCAGAGGAACCCUAGAGAAAAACUUUCCUUUCCGGAUUGAUCUCCCCCUUCAUGCUCGUCCAAAAUCGUAGAGCCUUGCUGAUUAUUCUGGUGCUCUGCACACCCAUCUUCCAUGGACUCGGGAGGGGAAAAAGAAGAAAAAGAGGUUCGGGUUUGUGCACUUGGAACGACGUAGUUAGGGUUUUAUUGCCUUCCCUUUCGCCCUCUUUUCUUUGUUUGCGCCUCGCCAUCCCAUCUUCUCCUCCUCUCUUCAUUGGACCUGAGAUUCUAGGAUUGAGAUGGCUUACACACUGUUGGCAUUCGAAAAGCAGCAAGGGCAUGGAGUUUGGGUUAAACCUCAAGUUCUUGGAAGUGGAUGCAAUGGUGAAUGCAAUUCAAAAAGAACUGAAAAGAUUAGGUUUUGAUUAGUAGUUGAGUUGGAGUGUAUCGGUUGAAUUCUCUUCUCUUCUUCGCAACCUCAAGGAAGCAUCAUGGGAGGUCAUGAGUGAAUAUUAAGGGCUCGUUUGGUUCGCGGGAAGCAUUUUUCCUCCUAGAAAUAUGAUUCCUGUAAAACAAAUUUCCAGAAAGAGAGUACUUUUGGCAUGUUUGAUUGACCAUAGAAAAAUGACAAAUUUCCAAAGUGCUUAUGUUUGGUUGGCCAUCCACUUUUCUAGAAAAGUUAUGUAUAAUUCCUAUUAUGCCCUUAAUAAAAAUUAGGUCUUUAAUGCCUCUUUAAUAUUUCUUUUUAGAAAAAAGUAAAAAUAGAGUGAUUUCCGCCUCAUGGGAAAGUAACUUUCCCAUGUUUCUUAUGGAAAAAACUUUCCUAUGAAAUGUGGGAAUCAUAUUUCCAUGGGAAUACAACUUUCUCGUCUCUCUUCUUUGAAAAAUCUAACCAAACAAGAGGUAUUCUCAUUACUUUCCCAUUGACCACACUUUCCCCUUUCUUUUCCCGCGAACCAAACAAGCCCUAAGGUGUAGAGAGGGUUUUGGAGUUUUGCUUUAUGACUCUGGCUAGGGAAGAUCAUUCUCUCUCUCUCUCUCAAUCAAUCUAUCUCUAUUUUAAAGAAAAAUUAUUGGUUGGGAAAAAGCUUUUGUGCUUAGCCAGUAAGACUUCUCGUGAGAUAAACUCCAAUAAGAACUAUAGAAAAAAUAAAAUACAUUAUAAAAUUCUCUGUAAAAUUCUUUGAAUCCCAAUCUAAACAUUCUUAAGUCGAUUUCAAGACCCAACUUGGAGCUCACCCAACCCGAUAGGCUUCAGGUCGGUCCAAAACCAUUUCUAGCCCUAUAAAGGACACUCAUCUCUCAUAGAGAACACAAUUACAACGUAAAGCAGCUUAGCCACUUGAAUUAAUGGACCAAUCCAACUUAUCAACUAACCUCAGGUUCCAACAUCAGUUGGCUUGUUUAUCCCAUUCUUAAUUCAAAAUUUGAAACAUGGAAUACCUAGAGGCCAUUGACGUACAACCCAUUUCACCCUAUAUUUAAAACAUGCUAGAUUAGAUGCCUUGCCCUUAUGCCUCCGAGCUCCCUAGCUAGUGCUGGAUGGGGUCGAUGGACUUCUCUCCACCUCUACGAACUACCAUAAUUCUCUUCAAAGUAUGGACCAUCCCAUAUUCCAUAGCCAUGAGCUGAUCAUCCAUGAUCCAAUCAACAUCCAUCGCCUCCACAAUCAUGAACUAAACACUAGUGCCCCUCACCUCUGCAGCCAUGACCUAACCUUUGGAGAAAUAAACACUUUGCCUCUAUGCCCAUAAUUCCAUUGCUAAAUUUCCACGCCUGCAUGCCCGCAAACCAACCACUUAUUGAUAUCUCAUGCCUCCAUAACUACGACCCAACCACUUACCUCUUAGCCUUCACACAAUCGCAAUGUCCCAUCACUCUAAUGACUUUCAUCAGCCUCACUCGUCUUAACGGUGGUCUGGACCCCUGCCAAGCCACCACUCAAUGAAGCAAGAAUCUCUACCAUAUCGUAGGCAUUCUCUAGCGACAGCUUGAAGCUACUCAACUGAUCAACCUUCCUUAGGUUUUCAGAUCCAAUCGAAUUUAUAGGUAUAGAAAAAAGCCCUAUCAAUUAUAGAUUUUUUUUUUGACCAUCUUUCAAUUGUUAAAACGAGAUAUACUGCUAGCACCAUUUGUUCCAUUUAUCAAUCCAUUUGCUGGGGACUAUUGCUUGCUGUAGCUUCAUCAGCAGGACUUUGCUAGCUCUAUAGCUAGAUCUUGCCACUAAAAGUGCUGGUCAAGAGCGUCAUUGGCUUCCUCACCGAUGUCGGCCUCUUUGUCACUAUCGACCAUGAACUCUAGCCUCCACCAGCCCAGAAAAGAGGAGAGAAAAAGAGAGGGAGAGGAAAGAAAGGAGAAGAGGAGAAAUGCUAAGAAUGAGAUGGAGAGGUAAGGGGAGUUCCACGAUUGUGCAAAGCAGAGGAAACCCAACUUGGUAACCUCUAUGAUGCAUGUUUGUCAUGCGGAGAGGUACGCAUGUUUAGAUGAAAAACACAUCGCUUAUGCAACAACUCAGGACCUCACCCAAAAUGACUAGCCGGAAGGUAUUAUUUAGGUUCAUUGUGGGACUAAAUACACGUCCACACGGAUCCUCACAUAUUUCCUCCGUUUAAGCCCUAACGUCCUCGUCAGGCUAAGGAUUCAAAUUUCUUCAAAUCUAUUCACAAACACCACGAUCGGCCCAUGAUCAGCCCCAAUGGAUCCGUGCUGCAGUGUCACCUAGUCCACAUAGGUUAUAAGAUGGGUCCGCUCUGAUACCAUUUGUAACAACCCAGGACCUCAUCCAAAAUGGGUAGCCGGAAGGUAUUAUUUAGGUUCCUUUCUAAGAUCUACCCAGCAAAUAACCUAUGUGGGACUAAACACACGUCUGCACGGAUUCUCACAACCUAUAUUGAAAAUGGACGAUUAGUAUUGCUCCCUCACAAUACACGUAUGGCACAGUAAUGUACAUGUUGCUAGGUCAAACAUGCAUGGCCCUCUGCGGUCACCGCUGAUGACCCUCCUCUCUCAGUCUCUCAGCCUCAAACCUCACAGCUUUCUCUAAAAUAGCAUAAAGAGCAAGUGUGACCCACACCUAAAACGGACCUUAGGAUUAGCAUUUGAGCAUGAUUAAAAAAAUAGAAAAGAUAAACUGUAUAAGUCAUGAAGUACAAAUCUGUACAUAUCUAUCUAGAACCAGGUACAAUUGCCUUAAUUAAAUUCAAAACCAAAUGCGCGGUGGGCGUAAUCAGUGAGCAAACACAUGGUAUUUUAAAUAGUUACAUGCUGGGUUCAGAUACAAACCCAAAAAAUUACACGCGUCAGAGAACUAUUCCACAAGUAUAAUAUUCAUGCAACGAAAUUUGCAGCAUUUCAUUCCCCCUCUCACCGCAAUCUACGUGAACCAAAACCGGGGCAGCCCCCUGUUUCAAGCACCACGGGAACCGAAGCAGUUCGAAUGAGAUCCUAGCAACACACAAGCGACUCCUCCACCAGUAUCUUACCUACACGUAUCUGAACUCAUCGGCAUCUGACGCGUGUCAACUAAUUACAAUAAUUGCAAGACUCCUCUUUAGAAGCCAUUGUUGUUCCGGAGCCAGAAUCCGUGCCCCUUCUUACCUUUUUAAACGGAAGGCCAAACUCUUCCUCCCCUUACAAAUCCUCUGCGUUUCGAUUGAAGAAGAGAAGAAAAAAGCCGGAAAAAUGGCAGAGAGCCCAAGCACGAUUGAAUCGAUGAGGAAGUGGGUCAUAGAUCACAAGCUUCGAACCGUUGGUAACUUACUGAUUUCUCAAAUUUCUCCUUUUUCUUUCCUUUUUUUUUUUAAGUUUCCUCUCUACAUAUCUUCUUUAUUUUUCUUAACAUUGGCCAAAUUCUUUUGUUUUUUAACCCCCUCUUUAAAGGUUGUUUGUGGUUGAGCGGCAUAGGGAGCUCCAUUGCGUACAAUUGGUCUCGGCCGAGCAUGAAACCCAGCGUUAAGAUCAUCCAUGCAAGGUUUGGUUGGAACCAACCCAUUCUCUUUUCUUUGUUAAAAUUGAGUUUUAUUCAGUUUAGUUACUUUAUUUUAAUUAUUGCCACAUUCUCCUCGACAAACUAAAGAUCCUAUCAAACAAUGUUAUCAUAUGUAAACCAUUACCGAAUGAAUCCUAUUAAGAUUCCUCUACUGCUUAUAUUGGAUUUAAACAUGAUUUAAUUUCAGGUCACCCCCUAAUUCUGCAUACACACACAAAAAAAAAACUAUAAUUUAUUUUUUUGGUUUAUUAUAAUUCCUUGACAUGUUUGUGAUUAUUUCUUUUAUCAUUUCGAUCUCGAGUAAUAAGAUUUGGCAUUUGGCUGUGUUUAUUUUAAAGGUUACAUGCUCAGGCUCUCACUCUGGCUGCCUUGGCCGGAGCAGCGUUGGUUGAGUACUAUGACCAUCGGACGGGAUCAGGAUCCAAGGUGAACCAAUAUGCCAAGGAGUUCUUCACAAUGGAUGCGCGCCCACAGAAAGAUUGAAGUCAGAGGAAGCAGCAGCUGCUUGCCCCUGCUGUUCUAAGGCCAUCUGUUUAUAUUUUGCAUGUAAAACGUACGUAGAAGUGGAAUAAAUGCUGGAUUUUGGCUGAUCUUUGGUGUCCGAGUCCUCCUUCUCAUUUCAUUUAUUGAUGAAAUAAGGUGGAUUUCCAUUUAUUUUUAUGAAAAAAGAAAACUAGGGGAGGUUAGUUCUUCCUCCUGCAAUCUUUGUUUGAUCACGAUGGUACGCCAUUUGUGUAACAACCAGAACCUUAUUCAAAAUAAAAAAUAAAAAAGAGCUAAUCAAAAAAUAUUAUUAAAUUUUUUAAUUCUGUAUAAGUAUCUAAUAUCUAUUUAGUGAAUAACUGGUUUCAGACUAGACAUAUGCUUGUAUAGAUUCUUCCAAAUUUUUUUAUAGUGUAAGAUGGAUUUGCUUUGAUACCAUUUAUAAUAAUUCAGAAUUUUAUUUAAAAAAAUUAGAUAUAAGAUUUUAUUUAAAUUUUUUGAAUCUGUAUAAAUAUUUAAAAUUUAUUUAGCAAAUCAAUGAUGUGGGACUAGUUUGCACAAUUUUCAUAAUUUGUGUCCAAUAUAAUGUGCUAUCUCGCCAUUUUCUUUUUCUUGCUAGUGCUAUUUAGUAAGUGUUUUAAGUGCGUUAUGAUAUGCUUGAGGUGUCAAACAACUUAGUUCUGCAAAUAAUUUUCUGGAGGAACCCGGCCUCUAUUGAACAUGGAUUGUUGGCAUUUUUAUGUAAAUGUUUAGCAUGUGUGAUGCAUGAGGGUGAAAGUUUGAACAACUUUGAUUCCUCCUAGUUAAAGAUGCAAGUGUGCCUCUUUUCCUUUCCUAAGAUAUUGAGAAAAAUAUUGGGAUUUUCCUUUGAUAGAAAAAUGAAGUUUUAUUAAUAAAAUUAAGAAUAGUUGAUGAGCAACCGCUCUGCAGGAUUCUUCUAUCCAUGUUUCAAAAGCUUCUCUCUCUUUUUUGCAGGAUUGAAGGAAUAAGUUGACAAUUGAAAACAUAAAUGCUUCGUAUCCUACAAUUAUUCUAAGAUGUUUUCGUAGAGCAAUGACAACUUUUAUGAAAUCUCCUUCAAGAUUAAGCAUUAAGAUAUUUACAUUACCACAAAUUGUACUCUUUCCUUCGAGGCCAAAACUUCUAUUAGGGACGGUGAUUUCAAAGAAACCGUGAUGGGAGAUGUAGCCACAAACUCUCCUCUUCUAUCUCCUAUAAUAAGCCCCAAUCCGUUCAAUCAACAAGUGUAAAAGAUAGCUACAUCCACAUUAACUUUAUAUGUACCAUCUUUGGGAGAUUGCCAUGUGACUAAGAGAAGAAUUGCGAUGAGGAUGCUCUUGAGCAUCUUCAUAAAAUCAUUGUACCUUCAAUGCUCUAAAUCAUAUUGUUUGUGCACAAGGUUUUUCUCGUUGUUUAAUGAUGGACGUGCCAGAAAGCUCAUUUGACAAGCCAAUUAUAAUAUGGAUAAAUACAUACGUAGGCGUGCCACCAUCGUUAGAGUAGUCAGAAGUAUGAUAAUUGAAGGAAAGAUACGAGAGUAGCGUGACUCUAAGUAUCUUGAUCAAGAAUUUUUAACAUUAUGAUACCAUCAUUUGAGGAAGAUGGAUUUGGUUAAGUAUAAGAGUGUAUUAAUACUAUAUCAAAGUAUUGAAAAGUAAAGUGUAGGAUAAAAUAAAGCUAAGAUAAAAUAAAAUUUAUUGAUAUAGAUUUCAUUUUUUUCUUUUUACAAAAUAUAAUUAUAUUUAUUUAUACUUAGAAACAUAAUAACUGUAAUAGAAAUCAUUGGUCCUUGUAAUGGCCCACAUCGCCACUAUCCUUAGUGGUUUCGAAGAUUUGCUCUUAUAAUCCUGCAUGUAGUGUAAUUGCAAACCCAAGCUAGUGAAGAAAGUGAGUUCAAGACUGUGGUUGAUACUCUGACUUGUAGCUCGUGCCCAUGUAUCAUGGUUGAUCAAGGCCAAGUUUUAAUCUUUCAGCCUGUUUAUUCAUGUUGUAGCUACCUUUCGACUUGCACCUACCCACCUAAUAUGAUUUAUUACAGGUGAACCAUAUCUAGUCCAUUUGCACUUGAUUUGACUUAUCUAACCACGUUGAUAUGGCGUUCGCACGUGACCGCGGGCUAAAUUGUUGAGAUCAUAUAUAAAUGCAUAUAUAUCUCAAGAAAAAAUUAAACAAUAUAUAGUAUAUUUUUUUUCAAAUGCACAAUUACACAGGUUCCUCUACGUUUAAGAUUAAUAAAGAAAAAAAAAUACGAGCAUAAUAGAAAAAGAAUGGAGUCAAAGCAACCCUUGGCAGUCUAAUGGAUAUGUCAUUCAUAUUGCACAUGUCAUAUACAAAUAAUACUUUACUAAGAAAUUGGUUUGGCUCCAUGUGAAGUUAGCAAAUGCUGAUGACACCCCCCAUUUUUUUUUUGACAAUUGCAACCCUCCAUCUUAGUAGGUUUCAAGGGAUGCAUAAAAUACAAAAGUGGUAUAAUAUUUAUUGAGUUGUAUCAAUAACCGAGGAAAAUUAAUCAGAUGGAACCAAAGUUAUUGAUACUUCCUCCUAGGUGAAUUGCGCAAGCCUGGAACUAAAGAAAAUAUAUGUUAUACAUAUUUCUAUGGUACCUUGCAAUGAAGAAAGUUUCCUCCUGUAGCCAAUUUUCUCUUUUUGUCAAGCUCACAAAGUCAACAAUAUUAGCUGACUUUGUGCACUACUUAAGGACUUAUAACAAUUUUAAGCCUCAACUAUAAACUUAGAAAUAUUUUUUCCUCAACAAACCUCUCCACCACUAAAAACGAACUUUUGAGUGAAGCUUCAACAAGAGGUUUGAGCAUCACCAGCUCACCUAGGUUUAACCUCAAAGCGAAACUUGUUUUAAAUCAUGUAUAAGUCCUUCAAUUGAAGACUUCAUAUAGUGAUCACAGAGUCACUAUGUACCCUACCAAAACAACAACAAAAAAAAUAUUAGCAGGUUUCUACAUGGAUAUGUAAUUGUUUUAAGGUUGCUAAUUAACCAAUACCAAUUGUUAUACAGAGGUGAAGCAAGCUACCCUCCACAUUCAUCUCAUGUAAAGUUAAUGCUAACUUAAUGGUCUGUUUUGUCGAUCGCAAUCUUACAAAAUAGGGAUAUUAUUUUUUUUUUCCCGACAUGAUCUAUUAUAUCCUUAUUUUCUAGAGCUUCAUUGAUUAAUGAUUUUCUUAAAUAAUUAAUUCUUUCUUCUCUUCCUCUUCCAUUGUUAUCUCCUCUCCGUUGGCUAUCAUGUAUUGCUAUGUUUUCGUUAUAGCUUACUAGGGUUUCUAAAUAUGCUCAAGAUUUUACUUGCAUCGGGAUUUCCAAAUUAAUUUAUAUCUCAACUAGAAAGUAAGAAAUAAUAUUACUGCAGCAUGCUAGAUUGACUUGUCACUUAAGAAUUUAUAAAUAAUUCAUCUAAAACCUUAGAAGGGAUUUGACCGUAAUUUUCUGUACUAACAUACCUUCGCAGUUCAAGUCGGCAUAUUAGCUCUCAGGAUGGAGGAAUUAUUGCCCACACUACGUGCAUCAGCAGUGCCGUACAUACAGUCAAUCAUGACCGCUGAUUUCUGUGAUGGCGCGCCGAGAUAUCAGCACGUGGAGACGGUGCGGGUGUAGGAUCAGUGGGGUGGGGUUUGAACCCUAACCGAUAUUUAGAAAAAAAGCGAAAAAAAAAAAAAGAAGCAGAAAGCUGUGCUCAUAAGGGAGGGGAAUUUUAGGUCGAGGUCGAUGCCGGGCGCGAUGGCGGCACCGGCGGCGAUGGAGCCCGUGGAGCCGCAGUCGCUCAAGAAGCUUAGUUUCAAAUCCCUAAAGCGUGCCCUCGAUCUCUUCUCCCCCGCCCACGGCCACUCCACUCCCCCCGAUCCCGAGAGGUUCUCCCAUAAACCCUAAAUCCCAAUCCCUCUUCCCUUCUCUUCCCCUUUCUCGUCUCCUCUCCUGCUCUCUCCCUCUUUUUCUCUCUAUCUCUCUCCAAUAUCUUUGAAUCGCUUCUUUCUUCCUGACUUUGGGUUUGUUCUAUGUUCGUCUUUGCCCGGGGCGUUGCAGCAAGAAGAUUCGAAUUAGCUACAAGGUUCGAACUUUCUCUUUAAUUUUCUUUCUCGAUUACUUAUCGAGCUUCUUUUAUUAAUCUGGUCUGUAAGAGAAAGGCUUGCUUCAGGGUUCUUUUUUUCUUGUGCAAGAUUUUCUUGCUUUUUUUUCGAGGUCUCGAGUUAAGAAGGAAUCAUCUGGUCAAAUUAAAGGGGCUGAGUGCUCACGUUGUUGUGAAACUACUGGAGAGCAAUUGAACAUGAUAUAUCCUGGGAAAAAUGUAAUUUAACUGGUAGUUUUUUUGUUAAAUUUUUAGUAAAAAAGGGCAGGGAAAAGUUUUGAAUUUGGCUGUUGGUUUCUUGAUUAUGGUUCAUCGUCCUCUUAAGGAUGACUGCAGCAAAGAUACUGUGUUUUAUGCUGCCAGUGAAAUUGUCUGAUUGGAUAUUUGUAGUGUUAAUUCUGAGCAGUGAACGAAGUAUUGACGUUGCAGCUGCUUGAUUUGAAGGUACAUGCUGAAUAUGGAUCAGUUAUGGACUUGUCUAUCGAGCAAGCACAGGACCGUGGUGGCGCUGGUGCUCAGGGUAAAGGUGACCUAGUAUCGACCUCCACAGCAUUGGCUCUUCCAGGUGUGUGGUGGUUGUUCCGUUUUUUAGUGCACAAAAUAUUUGAAAUUUUACAUGCUUCAUGAACCAUUCAGUAAAUCCUUUUGGUUUCCCUUAAAAGCUUUUAUAUUCUGUGAAACUAAGAGUCUGAGGCUAUAAGAUGGUUGCCUCAUUGUAGCAUGUGUACUUGGUGUAUUGUAAAUGACCCUUGAAAGACUGAACGUGAUGGUACUCAUUCAUCAAAGCAUUGGAAAAGAAGAACUUAAGGAUUUGCAAUUCUCUGCUUAUAUUAUGUCCCUAAAGAAAUUAGAAACAGCAAAUUAAAAUACUAAUUUGUUAUUAAUAAUCUCUUCCAGCUAAUGUCAAAAAUGUAGGAAAUGUUGUUGGCUUCUGAAAACUGCUUUGAUAUUCAACAUGCUGGAGCUUAUCAGCAAGUAGUAGAUUUCAUUUCUUUUCUAUUAGUAAUAUUAUUUUUUGUUAUUUUUGUAUUACUUGUGGUGUUUGAUUAGAUAUAGUAUGGAAUGCACACAAUUAAUCUGGUGAGUUUAUUGCACUAAGAUUUUGUUUUUUUGUUUUUUUUCCUUUUUUAGUAGAAGGGUCAUUUGAAGAUUCAGAGAAGAAAUGGUUUUGAUUUGUUUGGUUGUGGGGUAUAUGUUUUAUUUCUUUAGAUCAUUGGCACAAGUAAGUUACACCAAUAGAAUCUGUAUUCUAAUAUGUAUUUCAAGGAAAGGUUUAAGUUUUUCGCUACCAUAUAUUACUAUAGAGGCCUCCUUUAUUCAUUAGAUUUAGUGAUUAUCCUACUUACUGUCCUUUCUAACUUGCUACCUUGCAGGAUGUGGACUCUCAUGUGCAGCAUUGUAUGGUCCACUAAAAUUUACUGUUAAAACUUGCUGUAUGCCAUUAUAUUUAGGAACUGGCACUAGUGUAACAUAAGAACAUCAAAUGGUUAAUUUUGUUUCUGAUAUUUCCAAUAGUCUUUGAAAAUUCUUGAUGCUAGCUUAACAUUGUUCUGGGCUUAUUCUUUUGUUACGGUCUCGAAAUUUAUUCCUACAGGCAUCCAGGAUUCCAGAAAUUCUCAGAAAGAGGGCAGCCAAAGUGCUAUUGUUACUGCACCAACGAUGCAACCAAAGGGCCCGUAUGUCUACCAUCUUAUCUUAUUGUGUUUGUGUACUACAAUAAAUACUUGCAAAUUUUACUCAGAUUAGCUAACACUAUAUAUUUUACAGGGAACCUGGUAUUCCAAGCAGAAAUACAGGGGCUGUAGUAUCGAUUCCUGGCUCUUCAGAAAGGUGAUAUACAUUUCUUUUUUUCCCUUUGCCUUGCUUGAGUUAAUGCAAAAGGAUUACAUUUGAUCAUCUUCAAAACAAUUCUCAAAUGGUUGUUAAGCUUUAUUUUUUUAUUUUUUUCUGUUAGAAUGAUUAGCUGCAGAUUAGGAGGGAGACACUUCAUGUUCAUAUAAAUUAAAAACUUCACAUUUUGCAUAUGGUAGUUGUCAUUUCAUCAUAAUGCAGUAUGGGUUGUGCAUAAAGUGAGUGGAUUCUUCUGACAGAUGUGGUUCUUUUCUCCUUUUACCAUGUGAUUUGAACCUGAGAUGUCUCUCUAGUAUUGAGUCUUAUGAAUGAUGACUCUUUUAUAGUCGUUGAUGUACUAGCAAUAUCUGAACAAAAUUUUUCUGCUGGUAGUUCCUGUAGUUAAUAUUGUUUGAACAUUAGAGAUAGACCUUGUUAACUUCAUUUUAAUAAAUAAUUUGCUUGUGUUAAAAAUUCCUUAAGGUUUUAUAGAAACUUGAAGCUUCUAUUCAUCAGGUCCAUGAAUUUUACUAGUUAUCAUUAUUGUAAGAAAAAUCGCAAAUUUCAAAGCCUUUUUAAGCAGCGAAAAAGAUUGUGUCUUGUGUUAUCUGCACUUUGAAGGAUUGUCAUAUAGUCCUCUCUCAACAUUUUAUUAGUUAAUACAGAAUAUGCUUCAUGCACUUGUACCGCCUCUUGUCAGAACUGUUAUCCUGAGCUCUUCACUGUAGUUUACUACUUACAUGAAUAUAAUAUGGUAAUUUGUCCAGUGUAUUGUAAGUCACCUCUACUCUUAUUGUUACUUUCACCAAUAGAAAGUUAUGCCUAUUAUUUCAUUGUUGGAUGCCCAGGUACCUCUAUAUAUUGGAUUGUAGCUGUCCUUGAUUUUUUUUGACCCAAUUUGUGCUCUGAAUUGUUCCAGCUCCUCGAGUUGAUCUGUUGAGGAAAGAAAUGAUAAACUUUGUUUACAGGAAAUUAGCAAUUUGGAAGGUGACCAGUCACACUGGAAUAUUGGUAUUUCUAUAUUAAUUAAAUUGAAAUAGUCAGUGUAAUUGAUUGAACCAGCCUUUCUGAAAUUUAAUAGAUAAGUAGUCUUGAAAGUGGCCAAAUAUUCAAUUAUAUCCCAUAUCAAGGAGUUGGAAUAUUUAGUCAGCAAAAUUGAACUUGCAUAGAAUUUAAGGACCUGUCUGGAAGAAGAGGGGAGGAGAGGGAGAGGAUGUAUGAUUGGCAAUGAUGAGGAGAGAAGAUGUCAGGAAUUGCAGAAAGAGAAAAAAGACCCACGGGGGUCCUUUUGCUCUCCUGUAGGAUUAAGUUUUUGUUUUUUUUUUUUUGGGGGGGGGGGGGUUGGGGUGUUUGAGUUGAUAUGGGUCAUGCCUAAAUGAGCUGCUCAAUUCAUGAAUCCAGGAGGAAAUCCUGCUCAAUCCUGCUAAGUUACCCAAGCAGGCCCAAAGUUAGGAAAUUAUCCAAGUUUGAAGUUUGAACAAGAGGCCAAAUGAAGUUGACAGAGUGUCUGGAUCCAGUUCACCCAUUAAUGAUAUAUUUUUCUUUUGAGACCUUUAUAAUUAGCAAUGUAUUUCAAAUUACCUAAUGGAGAAUGCUAUCUGGGUUGUUGUAUACAAUCUGUAUAUACAGGCUAUCUUCUUAUGCACAGUUGUGCCUAUUCAACACAAACCAGCGAUAACAUGCUGUCAGUACUCUUGACCAGUUGAGCUACAUAUAAGUUUGAUAUGGCUGAAAUUGGUUAAUGUUUUACUUGCUUUAAGCAAAAAUUGAGAUAUUUGAUUUAUGAAUGCAAGGAAUAUGCUCAAUUGCACAAUUCGUCACUCCUUUUUUUUGAUAGAACAUAAUUCGUCACUCUUACUACAAUGCUUUAAAUAUUCUAGGAAGAAAUUCUUACAAUAGUUCUUAUUGCUGUCAGGUAUCAAUCCACAUCGGCAUUGAUGGAAAGGAUACCAAGUAGAUGGCCUCGUCCUACCUGGCAUCCUCCAUGGAAGAAUUAUAGAGUAUGCUUGCUUAUUUCUUGGCCUUAUAAUAUAUUAUUAUUAGCUGUUACUUUUAAUUGUGUGAGAAUUAAUUCUGAUUCUUGAAUGAAUUGGUGCACUUUUCUAGCAAGCAAUUACUAUUCUAGGUUCCAUAAUUUUUAAUUACUGGAAUUUUAGCACAAAGUAACUAUAGUUUAUAGUUAAAAUCUCAAUAAAGGUCUUUGAAUUGUGCAUGCUGUGCAGCCAUUUUGAUAAUAUAUUAGUGGAAGUUUGAUGUAUGAAAUUACUUCCCUAACUGGAAUAUAUGUUAAGACGUUUAUAUCUCUUAUGAUGCUACUAAUAUGCUUUUCAGUUCUUUCAGUUUUAACUUCAUCUACAUAUUUGAUAAAGGAUUUAGGAGAUAUGUCAGUUAUAUGACACCCUGCACCACUGUGAUAUAGAGGAAGCCUAAUACACACAUUUCUGAACUCAUGUGAGCCAUAUGGAUGAUUAUAAGCAAACUAUGAGAUGGCAUACUAUUUUUCUGUCUUCCACUUUACAGGAUGGGUUUUUGAGGGCUUUUCGUUUUGAGGGACUUAAAAUUGAUUAAAAACUAACCAUAAUGUGUGGGGGAAUUGAAACAUUAGGAAAUUUCAGCAGAUUAGGAGAGUUUUAGAGUUUUAUGGUUGCAGUGGUGGGUAAUAAUCUAUGGAUUAAAGGGCUUUAAGUAACCCAAGUUUUUAUAGUUGCAGUGGUAGGUGUUUCUCUGUCUGUUGCUUUAAGUUUCUUUUCUAUCACUUUUUUCAGUAUGAUUUACUUCAUUGAAUUUAUGCAGGUUAUCAGUGGUCAUUUGGGAUGGGUGAGAUCCAUUGCAUUCGAUCCGAGCAAUUCAUGGUUUUGUACUGGUUCUGCAGACCGGACAAUAAAGGUUCACCUUGCAUGAUAUAGGGCUAUAUUAAUGUUGUAGAUACUUGUUGUUUUUGUGAUUAUGAUUAUUUUUUUCCUUCUGCCAUUAUGUGUUAGGAUGUAUCAUCAUCAUAUAUUUCAAUGAGUGGGUCAGUCUUUGACCUUGUGGCAUUUCUUGAAUGCACAAUGAACUUGUACUUCAUUUUCUACACUUGGGAUCUGAGCUUUCAGAUUAUUUCUCCUUUUUUUUCGUUGAAGGUUGAUAAUGCAUAGAUUGAUUGAUUCACAAGGGAUAUCUGUAAGGAUAUUCCUGCUGACCAUGUUUAAAGUUUUCUCUGAACUAUGUUGAUUCAAAUGUUGCUUCUUAGAUUCUAUGAUAGCCAAAACAUAUUUUAUGUAUGUUAAACUUGAAGUUGUUUAAUUUUGGGUUGAAAAGGACAAGAAGUGUUUUUCCCCUCAUUCUUACCCUUUUGUAUUUUGAUUAUGGCUAUGACUAUUUAUUUAAUUUUUAACAAAAAAAAGGGACGUCCUUUUAUUUGAUUUAAAUUUCAACUGGCUGCUUAAUUUUUUGCUACUACUUUUUUGUUUCUCCCUUUUCAAGAUAUGGGAUGUUGCAUCUGGAAAAUUAAAGCUCACACUGACAGGACAUAUUGAACAAAUACGCGGUUAGUUGCAUUCAAUACAUAUUGAUAGCUUUAUUUUGGUUUCUUUUCUUGUGUAUUAUUUACGUAGAAUAUUGGAAAAUAAUGAUACGAACAUGUGCUUAUAUUUCUAGGGCUUGCUGUCAGUCAACGUCAUACUUAUUUGUUCUCUGCUGGUGAUGACAAACAAGUUAAAUGUUGGGAUCUUGAACAGAAUAAGGUUGUCUACUGCAGACUCUUAUUUAUAAACACGUACAAAUUUACACCAUAUGAGGUGUCUACUGACCUGUAAUUUACAUUUCAUUUAUCUUUUGAAUAGGUGAUUAGGUCUUAUCAUGGACAUCUGAGUGGCGUGUAUUGUUUGGCGCUUCAUCCAUCUCUCGAUAUUUUACUAACAGGUGGCAGAGAUUCUGUCUGUCGGGUAUGCAUUUAUAUGAAUUGGAAUGAGAUAUUGUUGAAGUUUAAACUACAUCGUAUAUUUUGUGUUGAUAGUUGUUGAACCAAUUUGUGGUACAGUGUCAAGUUGUUUUGAUGUAGAUCUGAACAUAUGCUUGACAUUGCAGAUUUGUCUUCUUUUUCUUUUUCUCAGGUCUGGGACAUUCGUACUAAGGCAAUGAUUUUUGCUUUAUCCGGGCAUGAUAACACUGUGUGUUCAGUUUUUGCUCGACCAACGGUAUGCAAACAUUUAUUUAGUCAGGACAUUUGUUCAUCGAUAUUUGCCUAGAAUCGUAUUGGGCGUUCAAAGUGUAUUAUUUGUUAUCCAGGAAUUAAUAUGUUGAAGUUCAAGUAAAUUUUGCAUCACAGAGACAUGCGAUUUGGUUUCAUUAUGAAGAUUGCAAUUUCUAUGGACUCAUCAACAUAUAUUAGCAUAAUCUCUAUAAUUGCCCAUUGUUUUGUGUAAUAAACCAAAUGAUCAAUUUGAAGCAAGUCCAUCCACAAGGUUUCGUUUCUUUAUGAGGCAGAACUAAAUUUCCAUCUUAGAUCCAGCAUCAACAUACUUAAACAAUCUAAUUUUUUUCUUGCUCUUUUUUCCGUGUGAAGCAGUGUGAUAUAGAUCUAUAUGUGUGGGUUGGAGCAUUUUUUUAGGACUCGAGGUUCUUGUUUGACAUUUUUUCCUUUAUUGAACCUGAAUUUUGUGCCUUACAUUAUGACAUAAGUCACAUAAAAUUGUUGCUAAGAGCUAUUUUUUGGCAUAUUCUCUUUCCAGGCUGUUCAAUAAUAGACUUCCCCCUUGAGAGUGAAGUCGUGCAUAAUGAAUAAUAUGCUUUCUCCAUAUAAGAAAAUAAAUUACGUAUGUUCAUUUGUUUCUAAAUAUUAUUAAGACCUUAUAGGUUUUGAGGAGGAGGCAAGAAGGGAUAGAUGCUAUUCGAUAUAAGAGAGUAAAUGGAGGCAGUGGAUUGUAAAUUUGGAACUAAGAGUAAUUACUGUUUGUUAAUGCAGCCUUCUUGAAUAAAAUUAUGGCGUUCACACCAAUCAAUGUCAAUAUGGGAGAUUAGGUAGCAGUCUAAGCUGAGUAGACAAUUAAAAUACUUCUUGCCACAAAUCCUGUCAAAUGCAGAACUUUUUUUUGAUAGGCCUUCAAAGAAACAGCCAAUGGGUAGUUGAAGUUGGGUAACAGAUAAUGGUAAACAAAAUUAUUCUUGUUAUUGUUUUUUCAGUUCUAGGGAAUCAUUUUUUUACCAACAACACAACUGAGUGAUUAAGUACUGCUUCUAAAAUACUGCUAGUAGAAAAACCAGAUUUAUCAAUUGGUUUGAGAUUUUCCUGAAUCUAAAUUCUAAUGUGACGAACCUUUCUUUUCAGUCAGUAUCCUUUAAUUGACUUUUUACUUUUCCGCUCUAUGCAUUAUCAUUGAUGAUGCCUGCAUUUAGGAUUUAAGAAAUUUAGGUUGGUCUCUCAUCAUUUACAGUUCUGUUCAUAUUUUCUCAUCUACUGAAUCCUGGCUGUCUUUUUUUCCUCCCCUUGUUUUUUUCUUGAUAUGUCAUGGAUGUUUGUCAGGUCAUAGAAAAUGCAGAAUUAUCUGUGUGGCUGUUAGUUUAAUCAAUACUUUUUUCCUUUUUCAGGAUCCACAAGUAGUAACUGGCUCUCAUGACACCACUAUUAAGUUUUGGGAUCUAGCAGCUGGUAAUGAUUUUUUUUGGUUAAAAAAUCAAUGUCCAUUAUUUAUCUGUAUUAAUUUUCAUCUUCUGAAGACAAAAUCCCUUUUUUCAGGAAAAUCAAUGUUAACUCUCACCCAUCAUAAGAAAUCUGUGCGUGCUAUGGCAUUUCAUCCAAAAGAGUAUGUCCCUCUAACUCAUGGCAGUCAGCCUCAUUUUUAAAAGCGUCUUUCUUUUUUCUCUUUCUUUAAUUCUUAAUGUUGCAGUUAGCGGAUUAUGCUAUUUUCUCCAUUUUUCUUUGCAGGCAAACUUUUACAUCAGCAUCAGCAGACAACAUAAAAAAAUUUGGCCUUCCGAGAGGAGAAUUUUUGCACAAUAUGCUGUGAGUAAUCACUGAAAAGUGCAUCUUCUAUUUGAACAAUGAAUUGAUAAUACGUUACUGAUAAAAUGACAGAUAAAAAAAAACAUAUGUUCAAGCAAUGUAGCUUAUAGUUUCUCACAUGCUUUAGAUUAUGAGUCAAUAUUAUCGCUUUAAAAUCAAGGAUAUCUAAUCAUAACAUCUAAUCAUAGUACAAGCUUAAAAAUCGAUAUAUCAAAUGAAGUAAUACAUGGCCAUACAUUUUGUAUGCCUCCUUUGAUUGAAUAUUUUACUGAAUGGAUUUUGAUAUUAAAGUGAUGCCAUGCUAUUAAGGAAUUAUUAUCAUAUCAAUUUGUAAGAAUGAAAGUGACAACAAAAAUUAUAGAAUAUUGUUGGCUUAAAAAUAAGUUUAUAAGAAUGGGUCAUGGGACAAUUUUUAGCAAAUUGACUGCAGUUUCCUUGUGGUAAUAUUGUUAUAUUUUUUGGGAGAUCUUUUUAUGCAAAGUUUGAAGGAAAGUAGUAAUUUGCAUAUGAUUUUACAUAUGAAUUUACUUGGAAGUUCCAUCUGAGUUAUUAAUUUGAUGAGAUCUGAAGCAGAAAAAGGAAUUAUGAAAGGGCGUGUUGAGAGUACUAAGGAUACGGGAGCUGUGGCAAGAAAUAUCAGUUUCACUUCAGAGAGCCUAAAGGAAGUGUUGGCCUUAGGUUCACAUUCCCAUUCUCUUUAUAUAUAAUUAUUGUUAAUACUUAGGAGUAGAUACAUUAUUGUAUGUUAUUUGAGGAUGAUAUAUUAAUGACUGAUAAUAUGGGUAACAACAUUAAACAUUAUAUCAAUGCUAUAUAGAAAAGAUUCAUAUUAUAAUUUAUGGAGUUAUCUCUCUAGAAAAAAAAUUAUAAUUCAUAGAAUGGACAUGAAAUGUAAUUUGUUAGGUGUAUAUAUAAAUACAUUCUGAUUAAAACAGAAGCCUGCAAAAUAACCAUUUUGAGUAAUUUUGCUGUUUGGAAUUAAAAAUAUGAGAAGAAAUGUAGAAGUUUCAUUUUUAGCUAGUGAAGUGCUGGAAAACCUUUUUAGAAAAUGAUGUUCUUCAGCAAAACUUUGACAGGUCCCACUGAAGAUAGGUUUGAAUAUUUAUAGUGGUGUCAUGUCAGUGGAAGGUUAAAUGAACAUAGGCUUGGAGUUUUGUGGAGUUGAAAUUGUGAAUCGACAGUCUGCAGCCCUCACAAGGGACAUACGGUGUUAAUAUCUUCUACUUUUGCACUUCCCUUUUGCGCUAGCAUCUGCAUAAGAAGACUUGAACAUCAUGACAUGCACACAUAUAGUUUGAGCUUCCAAAGUUAGCAUUGACCUUUCUUGUAAUGCAUACAAUGUACACUACUGUUUGGAAGGAAUACUUUGUGAUAUCCAUGGGUAAAAUCUCCAUGGAGAUUCAUAUGUUAAUCAAAUUUCUAAAUGUCUCAUAUAUAUACAUAUUUAUAUAUACACACACAGAUAUAUAAUACAGAAGUCAAACCACCUUAAGAUCCUUUACCUUUCUAUAAUUUAAUUUCUCUUUCUACAAAUGUACUAAAAUCCUGGCCAAGAAGGUCCUUGAUAGGACGAUACCCGUAAAUAAUUAUCAGGAACCUUUAGCUCAAGUUUUCCAUAAAAUCUUGUUAUCUAAUUUGCCAAAUUCCCCUAAUAUUGAUCUUAAAAAAAAUGAAGACAGGAUUUUCUUUUGCCAGUUGGGGUGAAGAAUUGGUAUAUCUACCAAACCGUUAGUAGAAGGGUAAAAGGCCUAGUGCCUUUCUCUUCUCUAGGCUGAUUUGCUGACCUCAGUUUCAUCCUGUCUAGAAUAAAAUUGUCUUGGCUUCUCAGAAAUUUUUGCAAUGUAAUCCAUAUUAAUGAGGAGCUUUCUUUGAACUAUAAUGGUUGCCAAGUAAUCUAAGGAAUUGUUUGGUUAGUCAGUAAGCUGGAAUGAAUCCGAAAAAACUGCUACUCAGCUUUAUGCUGCAAAACAACCUUUCAGGUAUUUAUUCUUCUUAAACCUGGAUGACACUAUUAGACCAAAAAUGGUCAAAUAAUUUUACCCAAACUUAUUCAGCUUUCUUCCUGCAUUUUUGCUCUCAUUAUUGCUCCUAUUCAAGUAACUUGGGUAAAACUACACUGGAACCUAACAUGGCCAAAAUCUUCUAUAUAACGAAAUCCAUUUAUAAGGUUUAUUUGUUGCAUUAGACAUUAUGCUAUCUGUUACAUGGAUGUUAUGUGCCUGCAUAGAUUAAACCUCAUCUACAAUUAGACACUUAAAACAAUCUAAUAUUUAAACAUUCCUUACAUGUAUCUAUUUCUUAUUCUCAUUUUCAUAUCUAUAAGCUGUAGUGAACUGUUUUGGCUAUCUGUUCUAUAUUUAUUCUCACAUGUUUUGGUCUCUCCUUAAGUUUUUAAAGAGUAUAUAGGAGCUAUUUUUUGUGUAUUUUCAAAACAGAAUCAUUAAGAAUACCAUAAAUACAUGAGAAUUAAAGUUGUAAUUGCGGAAGCUAGUAUGGUGUGCUCGAACAUGAUGAAAUAGAACUAAUGAAACAUAAUAAUAUAUAAUCUACAGAAUCAGAAUGACCUCGAAAUAUUGAAUUGAAUGUGCAAACCUAACGCAGGCUCAAGGAAUGCAAACUAACUCAAACAAAAACCAGUAAACAACCAAUGAAACUAGUGAUGAAUUCUCAUCGUGUUCUACCUUGGAGCAAAACAGUUGUCAUUGAACAAAGACCAAGUUUUCAGAAUAUCGUGACAAGAUGGAAGCAGAAAAUGUUGUUUGAUGAGCUUCUUAGUAAUGUGUGAAAAGAUGAAGUCAACCUUGACUUUUUCCCCCCUUUCUCCUCAGGGAAUUGUCUCUCUGGAUACCUUAAUGAAGCCCCUCCUAAAAGUUUAGAUUAAGUGUAACCUGCUAAGAUAUACUUAAACAGCAAUUAUAGUGCUUAAAAUUUUCUUAGGCUUCAAAAAGACGUUAAAUGUGUAUAUGAUAAACAUAGGGAAGAUUUGGACACGGAUAAAGUUGCAUGAAAAGGCGAUAUAUAAUAUGAAAAAGGAUGCAUGUAUGAAGCUUAGAGGCAUAAUUAGUAAACAAAAAUAGACUUGUGAUUCUACCAACUUAGACAUUUUGGCAUGAGCCAACCAGUUAGCUGUUGUAAAAAGCUAGUAAUCAGAAAUUCAGGUUUACAACUUGGAAACCUGAGAAUAGUUACAAGCCAAGAGAUAAUCGUGAAUGAAUAGAAGACCUUGAAAGGACAUAUCUUGGAAUCUACUAGUUGUUUGUUUAAUAGUUGUAGGAACCCCGUUGAAAUUGUAUUGCGGUCCAAGCUGCAAGCUUCAAGUGGAAAGAAGUGAGGUACUGAUAUAUAUAGGGUGGUAAAGACUGUAUCAAAAUAUUCCAACUUUGGAAUCUAUUAGCAAAUGAAUAUUCAACCAAAUCCAUCAUGGAGUGGAGGAGAUUUCUUGCCUUUUCCAUUACAGUGCAUUAUUGAAGCUGACCUAAGCUGUUUCUUCAUUAGGUGCACUUUUUAUUGUCUUAGAGGGAAACAUAGUUGAGAAGGCUUUGGUGAGUGCUCGACAGGCAUUCAUUUUGUAAGAUCUGGUGAAAAGGGAGAAAAUGUGUCCUAGCAAAUUAACAACUGCUUUUGCUUUAAGAACUAUUAUCUUCUGACAUAAGAUACUGAAGAAUUGUCCAUGUAAUGUUUUGAGUCUUUUCUGCUUAAAAGAUAAGUCUUUUGCUACGAUAGAACUGAAAAUGGUGAGAAUCUUUCAAUGCACAGUAUAUUAUGACAAGAUAUAUUGUCUUAUGGUGUGUGUAAGAUGCAUAUGAUGAUGUUAUUCAUCCUUAAACUCUAAAUUCCACUAUUUUCUUGUGCAGGUCCCAGCAGAAAACAAUAAUAAAUUCGAUGGCAGUUAAUGAAGAUGGUGUCUUAGCAACUGCAGGUAUGCUGUAUACGUAAUGAAUUAAUAGUUGAUGGACCAAAAAUGCACUAAAUUAUGUUAGGUUACAUGUUAAAUUCAAGUUGGCUGUAGCAUAUCAUAUUUUCUAGCUUACCUAGCUAACAGUGAAAUAAAUAGCCAUUAUCUGGUGUAACUGUUUUGCAACUUUUCCUGAAGGUGACAAUGGGAGCCUUUGGUUCUGGGAUUGGAAAAGUGGCCAUAACUUCCAGCAAGCCCAGACUAUUGUCCAGCCUGGUGAGUUUUUUUCAUUGAUGGGAACUGUGUGCCUUUCCUCAUUAUUUGGUAAUACUUAAAAAUAGAUCAAUGAUGGUUGCUUUUGUGUUCUUAAAUUGGAAUUUUAGGUUCACUGGACAGUGAAGCAUGUAUAUAUGCUCUUUCAUAUGAUAUAAGCGGCUCGAGGCUUGUUACUUGUGAGGCAGACAAAACUAUUAAGAUGUGGAAAGAAGAUCCAACUGCCACACCAGAAACUCAUCCACUAAACUUCAAGCCUCCAAAAGAAUUUCGGAGGUACUGAUGGCACCCUAUGCCAGUAGUUCAGGUUGGCAGCAUUGGCGAUGCCAUUUAUUUGCCUGCAACUUAAGCGCGUGAUGGAAUGGUUCCACAUUUAAGUAGAAAAUGCAGAACUACUUGCUCAGAAGGUUAUACAUUGCAUUGUGGAAUUAUCAGCUUUAUGAAGCUGUAUGUGUUAAUUUAACUAUGCUGGUACUUGAUGAAUAUCAAGGAUGGACUACAUUUAUCAUGAUUUUAUCAGUAGAGUUGUAAGAAAUCUAAAAUUGCAGCUUGUGCCAGCAAAAAAGGGUUCACUUGAAAGUCACGAAGAUUUAAACAGCACUUGUCACAUGGUGUGCAUAAUUUUGCAUGAAUAUACUCUUGAUGAUGUGCUUAGCAGCCACACGACACUAGAGAGAUGGCGAUGCAGCUGCCCAGUCUGUAGAUGCUCUGUUUUAAGUUUUUUAUUUUGUUAAGCUGGGACGGGGGCUAGAGAUCAACAAUGAAAAUGACCAAUCUUUUCUACGAUUGAUAUCUACAGCUGAUAAGGUUUCCUUGUGUAUGGAAAAUAAGUGUGGAUGUGAUUUGAGAGUCCUUUUUGUGGAAUAAAUGAUCGCUAGGUUGAGUAGCAUUUUUUUUUUUAUUUAUGAAGAGAGUGCCAAUGCUUAUCAUUCAUAUAUUAAAAAACUUCCCGAAAUAAGUUAUAUGCACAGCUCAAAUUGUCUAGCAUACAGAAUGGCUGCUGAGCUCUCAAUUUUUUUAUUAGUCUUUGUUUCGGUUCCUUUUAAUGUACUGGAUAAAACCUGAUGUCUGGUUUGAGAUGAGGAUAUCUAGUUCUAGCUUUGUUUUCUUCAUAAUUUCAGUAGUGUAGAAUCGCGAGACAUAAACAAAUGCAUUUUAUCAUCGAUGACUUUUGAAGCGUCUCAGAUGUUUCAAAUCUUGACAACAAAUCAAUCAUUCUGCUUGCAUGUUUAACCUGUUUUGUCCCGGCUGAUCGUUGCCAGUAGGAUUAGCACGGUCCAACUAAUUUUCUCUUAUUUAUAUCGCUAAUAAUGUGCACGGAGUUCAGGUUGAAAGAAAUCAGGCAUUGGGUUUCGAUCGGAUUUGGGCAUGUGUGAGCUGCAGCAUGUUCGACCUGGUCUGAACCUGGCCUAUUGCCUGAAUUGUAUAAUAUGGAAAAAUUUGGAUUCAUGUCCAAAUUCUUGUAAACUCUUGGAUCAGCAAUAAGCUCGAUGAGUCAUCUCUUCUUAAUUAGCUCCGUGACUCGAAGGCAUAUCCAACGUAUGGAUCUAUUGAUUUUAAGUGAAAAGCAAAUUCAAAAAAGAACCACCAAGAAUGCACUUAGUAAUAGCCGGUAUUUUUUAGGGCUAAUGGGUCGGCUCUCUUUACUUUCUCUCUCUAGAGAUCUAUGGAACCUAGCAUCAGAUCCUUUCUCCUCUCUACUUUCUCUCUCCUCUCUUUAUUUUCUCUCUCUAGAUAUCUAUAGAACCCAACAUCGGGUCGUCCUGUUGACCUGAUCUACGAACCCAAGUUGACUCCCUGUAAAAGGCCUUGAUCUACCUUGAUGCCCGAGUCGCCUACUGGACCGAUCCCCCGACCUUAUCAAGUGUCUAUCGAAUCCACUGAUGAUGAAUUCUGUAAAACGACCUUGGCUCUGAUCGAGUCCUGGUCGCCUCUUGUGUAUGCUAAUUACUAUUAUCCGCUGAUAGGGUCAUGUGGAACUGAAUAUCGAUCUAUCCUACUUUCAUAGACCAUACAUAGCUUUCUAAGAGCCUUUUUCUCAUAGUUCUUAAAACAAUUGAUUCUUAAAUCAUAUUUUCUUGAAUUAUACAUGAAUAAAACAAAAUAGCUUUAUAGAGUUUGUAACCCAUAAAUAAGUAUUUAACAGUAGAAUAAUUAUGAAAUUAUUAUUUUCAUAACAAAAAUACAAAUUUCAUAAAUAUGGAGUUCGUAGUUCAUAAAUAGUGCUUAACGGUAAAACAAUUAUUUUGCAAUAAAUCAUGAGUUUCAUAAUAUCAUAUGCUUGAUCUUUAAUUUUAAGAAAAUAUNNNNNNNNNNNNNNNNNNNNNNNNNNNNNNNNNNNNNNNNNNNNNNNNNNNNNNNNNNNNNNNNNNNNNNUAAGAAUUGUCAGAUUUACUUACUUUUUUUAUAUUAGAUCGUCAAACUUGACUUGACAAUUCAGUUAACCCUAUUUAAAAUAUUGAAAGCAAAAUUAAUUUUUGUUUGACGAUUGUAAUUGAAUUAAAAUAAUAAAAAACAAGGUCGACUAGUUGGAUUAUAGCAUUCAAUGAUUCUUGUGGGUCAGGCCUGGACGAUUCGAUCAAUAAAUUAUAGGGCAUAGACUCGAUCAGAGCCAAGGUCGUUUAAUAUAAUUCAUCAUCAGUGGGUUCCAUAAACACUUGAUAAGGCCGGGGGAUCGGUCCACUAGGCGAUCCGGACACUAGGGCAGAUUAGGGCCCUUUAUAAGUGGUCAACUUGGGUUCAUAGAUUAAGUCGACAAAAUCCGAUGCUGGGUUCCAUAUAUCUUCUAGAGAGAGAAGUAGAGAAGAGAGAGAAAGUAGAAAGAAGAGAGAAAACAAGAGCGAGAAAGAGAGAGAUGACUCUCUCUCCUCCUCUUCUUCUUUUCUUUAUUACUCUUUUUUUCUUUCUUCUUUCUUGGCAAAAUAGAAGAGAAAGGGGGCACCUGGUGGUUGUGUCGUGGUGGUUCGGCAUGGUCGCGGUGGCGGGCAACAGAGGGCAAAUUCCGGCGAUUUUGGAAGAUCGGUCAAAUUCGGUGGAAGAAGAUCGAAACAGGGGUGCCUUAUUUUGGAAGAAGUUCCGGCGAUUGCCGGCUCAAACUAAAGGGAAUGAAGGCCUAAAACAUUAAAGGAGGAGGAGAAGAAGAUGAACUACUCUUAUCUCAAUUCGGCGAGGCGUUCUGGCGACUCUUGCUUAUGAAAAUCGGAGGAAGAACCUCAGAAAAAAUGCUUAGAAUCGACGACGAUCUUUGGUGAUUUCGAUGGUCAAACUCAAACUCAAAGGAAAAGGCCUUAAAUAGAUGAUUCCUAAGGUUUGCGACUGGUCUUUAGAUCGCUCUAGGACUCUCAGAGUCUGGGGACAAUGGAGGAGGAAUAAGACUCCAGUUGGGAGUCUUCUCCUUCUCCCAAUUGUGAGCAACAAGGACUCGCUUGAUCUUAAUGGGCCUUAGCCUCUUGGGCUGGCCCAUUAGCCCUAAAAAAAUCGGCUAUUAUAUUUUUCCUCUUAAGAUAAUAUCAUUCUCGAAAUAUGUAUUCAGUCCCACAUCAGUUAUUUACUGAGUAAAUUUUGGGUACUUAUACAUGAUCAAAAAAUCCAAAUAAUAACUUCUGACUAGUCAUUUUGGGUGAGACUCUGGAUUGUUAUAAAUGGUUUUAAAGUGGACCCGGUUUAAAAUUUAUGUGGACCGGAGGAUACUGCAACAUGGAUUUGUUGGAGCUGACCACAGGUCGAUUGUGGUGCUUGUGCUUAGAUUUGAAUGGAGGAAAAAGUAUGUGAGGACCUGUGCGAGCGUGUAUUUAGUCCCACAUCGAUUAUUCGCUGCGUAGAUUUGGAUACUUAUACAAAAUCAAAAAAUCUAAAUAAUAUCUUUUAGCUAGUCAUUUUGGAUAAAAUUGUAGGUUGUUACACUUAUCAAACUUUGCCAUAUGCUAGGAUUGUCAAAGAUUCUUCCCCGUCUUUCUGGGAGGGGCUUUCCUUGCAGUUUGUAUUGUAAAUCUGUUAAAACUCUUUUCACUCGGAUGUCUCUUCCAUCAACUUCACCGACAGACGUGGCCUUAAGUGAACUGCAUAAAUUCGUGCGGGCAAACUAGCCAACUAGUCAAAUGCCAACAUGACGACAAAAAGGUUGGCAACUUUAAAAGAGCAAACUCCCUGGCAUCUUUAAAAGACGUGGUUGGGCAGCUGGUGUGGGCGGCUGAUCAACUGAAUACGGUGGAAGAAAUCGAAACUGGGGUGCCCUAGAAGAAGUUCCGGCGAUUGCUAGCUUAAACUAAAGAAAAUGAAGGCUCAAAACAUCAAAGGAGAAGGAGAAAAAGAUGAACGACUCUUACCUCAGUCCGCCGAGGUGUUUUGGCGACUCUUCUCAGUGGAAAUCGGAGAAAGAACUCAGGAAGAAUGCUUAAAAUCGAAGACGAUCUUUAGCGAUUUCGAUGGUGAAAUUCAAAGAAGAAAGAAAAGGCCUUAAAUAGAUGAUUCCUAGGGUUUGUGGCUGGUUUUUAGAUCGCUCUAGAACUCCCAGAGUCCGGCGAUAAUGGAGGAGGAAGAAGACUCCAGUCGGGAGUCUUCUCCUUCUCCCAAUCGCGAGCAACAAGGGCUCGCUUGAUCCUCUCGGGCCGGCCCAUUAGUGAAAAAAAAUUGGCCAUUGUUUAGUCCCACAUCAGUUAUUCACUGGGUAGAUUUUGGGUACCUAUACAAGAUCAAGGAAUCCAAGCAAUAGCUUCUGACUAGCAAUUUUGGAUGAGAUCCUAAAUUAUUACAAAUGGUAUUAGAGCGGACCUGGUCUAAAAUCUAUGUGGACUAGAGGACACUAUAGCACAGAUUCAUUGGGGCUGACCAUAGGCCGAUCGUGGUGCUUGUGAUUAGAUUUGAAUGGANNNNNNNNNNNNNNNNNNNNNNNNNNNNNNNNNNNNNNNNNNNNNNNNNNNNNNNNNNNNNNNNGAGCGUGUAUGUAGUCUCACAUCGGUUAUUCAUUGCAUAGAUCUUGAAUAUUUAUACAUAAUCAAAAAACUUAAAUAAUUUUUUUCGAUUAGCUAUUUUGUGCAAAAUUCUGGUGCAAAAUUCUAGGUUGUUAUACUUAUCAAACUCUACCAUAUGCCCGGAUUGUCAAAGAUUCUUCCCCGUCUUCUCGGGAGGGCCUUUCUUUGUAGUUUGUACUGUAAAUCUGUUAAACUCUUUUCACUUGGAAGUCUCUUCCAUCAACUACAUCGACAGACGUGGCCUUAAGUGACCUGCAUAAAUUUGUGUGGACAAACUAGGUAACUAGUCAAAUGCCAACAUGACGACAAAAGGUUGGCAGCUUUAAACGAACUAACUCCUUCGCAUCUUUGAAAACACUCCUUGGUUCAUCAACCUACCAUGCGCAUUUGCUAAAUGUUAAAAAUAGUACUGUUGCUGGGUUCUCAAACACAGCUCAAAGACACCUUUCAAAGUGGCUGUCAUGCUUGACAUUGUGAGAGAACUAAGCAAACUUUUUUUUUGCCUAUAAAUACGAUAGGUAGGUUGGAGUGCCUGACCAGUGACCACGAGCCACAUUUUCUUCCCCUAAGCCUAAUCUUGGAAGCUUCUCAAGUCCAAUACAAUUGCAUGGAAAAGGUCACCUUAACUAACGUUAAUAUUUUAAUGCCCUGCCGCCUUGCACUUUCCUUUUCUUUAGCAUUAGAAAUUCUUUUUUAUAUAAAAUAUAUAAUCACCUAAGACAUAAGAAAAUGAUUUGAACAUGUGCCACAUGGAUGGUGAAACAUGGACAUCGCUUUGAAUUCAUAUAAUUGACUCAAGACGUAAGCCUAGGUGUCUGGGUAGGUCACAAAUUAGAUUCAACCUGCCAACUGGAAUGGCCUCCCAAGCUUUUCUAAGCUAGGCCAAACAUGGACAAUAAUUACUAUACUACAAGGAAAAAGGGAAGAAAAGACGUCCCGCCGGUCAAUCAAAAACCUUUAUUUUCAUGCUCAGGAUUAAAUUUCAAUUUGCUAAUCGCCACCAAUGCAAUUAUUGUCCACGAGGAUGAGACCUAAUCUUAAGCCUAAUCCAUAUUUUGAGCCGGAGCUAAUUUCAGCUAAAUUUAAUAAAUAGUUAGUGUUCGAAUCUAUCUUAGAUCUUAAUUCGAGCAUUCGUAUAAAAUGCGGUCAGGCCAGGCUAGACCUGUUUUUACAUCCCUAAGAAAACUUUGGAGAAGGGUUUAACCUAAUCUAACACAAAUUUGUUAAGUAAACCCAUUAAAUAGAAUCCAUAUUGCAGACUAGAUUUUGAUUUGGACCCGUACUACCUGAGCCACCUUCAUUAGCACAUUAAUCACAUUCAAAGAAGGAAUUCUUUCUGCAAGGUGGAGGAAAGGGAAAGAUGGGACCUCCCAACCAAUGUCCUAAUGAUUUAGAAAUGUGAAAAUUUUAAUAAUUAUUGCGUGGAACAGUUGGCUGCAAUGAGUAAAACUCCCAAGUCCCAACCUCAUCAUGAUGCAGACAUUAUAGUGGAAAAUAUACUUGGGGCUGCUGCCUCCCCCAAGUACAUACCAUAACAACCCCAAAUACCCCCAUCUCUUUCUUGCCUUCUAUUACAAUUCUUAAAGCCAAAACAAAAGAGAUGCAUGAAAACAAUCAAAUAAAACGGCCUUAAAGCUUGGACUGGACUCUAAACAAGAGUCCUCUUUUAAUAUCAAGUGGCCUCAGGUGAUAUGAGAGAGUGGAAGCCAAGCCCUCACUGCAAUUAUAUGGAAUAAAGUGAACAAGUUUGUGGUAGUAUCUUCCACAAGCAUCAUCAUAUAGUUUGCGAAGAAUCAUGUCCAUCACGAUUUAUAUAUCAUUAUAAUAUGUACAAGCACCUAACAUGUGAGUAAAAAUAUGGCGAUUAGCCGACGUGCUGACCCACCGGACAAAGUAUAUAUCUUAAAUAGGCUCUGGAUCAUAUGGUUUUAUUUUGAAACUUAUUACACAUAAAGUAAUUGUCCUCGGUACAAUCCUUUAUUAUAUUUAUGAAGUAUCUCUUGUUUUAAUUUUUGCAAAGCCGGCAAUGUUAGUUUACCGAACCGACAUCGAACCAGACCAUAUGUUGGUGUACUCUUGUUAAAAUUAUCGAGAAAAUGCUUCAAAAUUUCGUCGUAUUAGCAUGAUGAUGAAGGGAAAGUUAAUGCUAAUGGAGGGGGUGCAAAGUUAACGAGAAGAGGAAGGAAAUAUAUAUACUUGAUUUAAAGGCCAAAAUGCUAAAUUUAUCUUGUAUUUGAGUGCCUAAGUUCACUCAAUUCUGACAACCAUCCAUAACUUUUGAAGUCGUCAUAUUUUUUUGACCAUGCAAUGCAGAAGAUUGAAAAUUAAACGAUUGGAGUUAAAUGUAUUCAUCCCUUCUGAGUUCAAUUCCGAAACUAUAAUUUAAGACCAAGGAUCUGCAUUCUUUAAGACCAAGUCCACCCGAAAUAUAGACAUUCUAAGAAGGUGACCUGUGAGCCUUCUCUUUUGACAUGCAGAGAUCUAAAAGCGACGACUAGAAAUGCCAGUUCAGAGACAGAAGAUUUCAUUCAUCAAGAGUACUAGAACUAACUGCUCCCAGAGCUGUCCGAGAAUGUGCCGUCUCUGCUGACUGAAUAGUUUAUUAUGACUCUUUACUUGCACUACAUUCCAAUCCACUGGCCUUAUACAAACACAUUGGCUGUGUUCUCACUGAAGACUUCAAAUUUGUUUGUUAGUUUGGAAUACUAAAUACCAACUCCUUAUGUAUGUUGCAGAUGAACAUGAAUACUCUAAAAGAAGAAGAAGAAGAAGAAAGGAUGAUGAUAACCCACCUAUGAUUUCUUUAGUUUUAGAAUAAAUGUUUGUUGGGGAAAGAGGUAGGAAGGUGGCAGACCUUGUGUGCUUCUUUAAUUGAUUCCAACUUAGUAUCUUAUGGCCUAAACUAGGAGGUAAAAAAUUGGUUGCAACUUUCGUGUAUUGGUUUCUAUUGCACAGGGGAAAAAAAACAACAUAUUCAAGGAAUGUUUACUUGGAGGAUGUUUUUUAAGUUUAAAUUAUCAGAAGCAUUGCCAUGUUACAGCUAGUCACUAGUGAAAUAUAGUAUCAAUAAUUGGGAAUCAUACUGGGUAGGUGUCUCUUCCAUAAUGUUUCAUUUGCUCAAACUAGAGGAUGGGGAAAUUUGGCUGCAACAUAAGUCAGCUAGUUCGACUUUGUUUGCUGCGAUUUUUUUUGUUAGUUUGAUAGAAGAGUCUUCUGAGUCCUAACUUCCGAGGAAGGAGAUCCAACCUUGUGAAAACAAUUUGAUUUCUUAAUCAAACAAGACAGCAGCAACAACAAGAACAACCGAUAAUAAUGGGUGGAUAAAGAUCAAAACUCAUUGCCCCUUGAUUGAUUAACUUGUAAUUGCAAGCUCAGGAUGAAUUUCACAGUCCAUUUGAUCCAUGUAGUUAUUGAUUUAGAUAGCAUAAUGUCAACUUAUAUUUAUUAAUCUUAUAAAUAAUUAUUAGUUGACAUUAAAUUAGAUGUUAUGGUCCAUCUAGUAUCUUCUCAUUUGAUUGUUUAGUAAUUCAUCUCUGGGUGAUAAUUGAAGUCCAAAAAUGCCUGAUUAGGAACCAGUACUAAUUACCACCUCGCUUCUGCCCAAGGAAAAUGCAUGGCACAAUGACAAUAAAAUAGCAUAUACUAUGCAAAAGAUAAAGUGAAAAAAAAAACAGAGAUUCCAUAGAUUUUAUCAAGAUUGAUGUCAAAAUCUAAAUCAAAUUGACAUGAAAAGGUAUUAUUUAAGACUGCAAAAAACUUAAGAUUAAGAAAAUAUAUAGAUCAUAAGUAAGUCACUUUGCUACCUUGUAAUUAUUUUACAUAAAAUUUGGGCAAUCCACAUGUAAUUGGGCUCUCCAGUGAAGUCCAUUCCGGGCAGAGGAAGCGUAGGGCUCUACAGCGAGCUUCCAAUUUCCACAAAGCUGGAAUGUUUCCUAUGACCACAUUGCCUUUGAAUCUUCUCCACACAUUUUGGGAUAGCCCUAAUAUAUCAUUCUAGCAUUUUAUUUUAACCAAAUGUCCACCUCAACAUCUACAUCAUUGCAGUCACAUACCAAAAUUUUUGUAUUGAUUGAAGUAUUGAACUUAAACAAUAUCAAAAAAAUUAUUAUUAUCACAUUGGUAUAUCAUAGAUAACUAUCAAUUCCUUGAUAGUUCCUGUCAAUUCCAUUUAAUCUAAAGUUAAGAAACAUAUCUUUGUCUCGAUCCUUAUUCCUUUCUGUACCAUAGAUUCCACAUAUUAAAAGUCAUCAAAAUAAGUUUUACUUCCAAUGAUUGAUGCCUAACUUCCAUUUCAUUCUUAGAAAAAUUGCCCCUAUCACACCUGGUUGCCUUCAAACAUUCUUGCUCAAGAAUACAACAAACUAUUCUACAAACUGCAAAUCUCAACAGCUUUUGAACCUUUUUAUGCAAUUAAAUGCAUCCAUAAAAUACCUCCAUAAUGACUACACUAUAUGGGAUGUGACACAAGUAACAUAAGAAUAGACAUUAACCACACAUUAGGCACCACAUGUGUCAUCAGUCAUCAGUCAUCACCAUGGCAUACAAAAGCAAAGUAUACAUGCAGCAUUUACCACUAGAUCUUAACAUAUCUUUUUGCCACCUUUUUACCAGCUAGUUAUCAGUUUCAAGAUUUUUUUAUGAUCAACUAAACAUGUUAAAAUUAUUUUUUCAGACAUCAUAUUUUUAGAAAUUAUUGUUAUAGAAAAAAUAUUUUAGUAAGAAUUUUUUUUUUACCAAAUGAGUCCUCUAAGACAAGUCCAUCGCCGAUGCAGCUAAAAGUCCAAGUGGAGAAAACGUGCACCAAUACAUAGCUUUUUCUCCCCGAGUUGCCUAACUAGACUCAGCCCAAAAAUGUCAUGCCAUUCUCAUGGCCAACUCUUCCCCUUGAUUAGCGUUUAGCGUCCCAGAAAACGCGCACCCAAGACUUUCCCAACCAAAACCAGACCUUGCCCAACCGACUCCCCCUAUACUUAGUCUAAACUAAAUGACUGCUCAAAUAAAUCAUUAAAACAAAGAUAGCACUCUAAAAUUUAUAAUUCUAAUCAGUGGAACACGAUCACAGCCAUGCAACUGUCGCACACCUAGUCAUGCACUCGCCAACCCACAAGGUCCCACUGGAUCACAGCCGUUGGAUCUAAAAUCAUACAGGUUAUACACCCCAAGUCAAACAAAAUUCCAUACCAACCACCCGGACUCUACCAAUUAAAGAAGAAUCUAGCGAUUAAAAUAUAACGUAUAAUUUAGCUAUCACCUUCCGGACUUAUAAUAUUAGUAGUAUAUGAUUAUAAAAUUAGUGCCAAAAGAUAUUAAUCUCCAUAACUAACAUUUAUAUUAAUUAAUUUAGGGGAUGAAGGAUGAUCGAACGUGGAAGCCGACGCGUCCAUGGUCCCCGUCAUCGUCUUAUUCUCGCGGCGCCAACGGCGGAAUUCCGGACUCCGACUCACUCUUUAAAUGUCAUUAAAAGCACAAUUAAAGUCCGUAUAAGUAAAAGCCCACGAAGCCCACAUACUUGUCCGAAAUAACUGAUUCAACAAAAAGCCAAACCAACCUUUGUAAGGGCUGAUUAGUCAUUUUACUAUUCCACAGCGGUCAAACCGAGGGUAUUUUCGAAGUUUUGAAGAAGAGAAGGGUUUAUUUUAGGUCUAGGAGAAUCUCAGAUGCACCUAGGCGGGGUGGUUCUAUAUACACCCCCCCUAUUGCUAAGGACACCCCCCAAAAAUCAAAAAGAAAAUACCCAAACUAACCUUUAGUGUAAUUACCAUAUUGCCCUUGAAAUUUUCUUAGUACACCCCUCCUCCUCCUCCUCCGUUUCGUUUUGAAAAAAAAAAAACCUUGCCCCCCUCAAACCCCCCUUAAACCCCUCGAUCCAUUUACAUCAUUUAGGCGAUCUUUGAAGGAGAUUUAAGCCCCAUUCGAAGCAUGGACAAGCA